UUUACCCUCUCCAAUUUUGUCCAGCUUCAAUGGCUGUGGAGUUAAAACUGAUGCAAAGAUUCAAAAAGGUUGACUUACCAGCCCAUUGCACCGAUUUUUAAAUUGCCAUGGGUCAAAUGGAUUUACCGAAAUCCCCAUAUAGAAAAAGUUUUUUUUUAAAGCAAAUGUGUCACUUGCAUUCUGUUUUCAGUGAUUUGGCAGACGAUGAUUUAGUAUUAAACCCCUUAUUGAUAUACUGAUACGCUGUGAUGACCAUAAACUCCACUUAUCUGAUACCAUAUAACAUUAGUAUUUUUGUUUUAUGUUUUGUUUGUUGUUACUUCGUCGUGUAGUGACCUCACUAUAGUUAUAAAGGGUUGGCAAAUGAUGUGAAAAUUUCUUAUCCUAUACACUGAAUAAAUAUUGUGAAGAUCAAAAACUCCGCUUAUUAUCUGAUGCCUUCCCUGUCUUAAUUUUCUCACUUUUAGUUUUGGUUGUAACUCUUGAGUGAUUUUUGUGUGUUGUGGGGUUUGAAAAAACUUUAUAUGAUUUUGUACAAUUGUUUAACUCAUCAAUGAUGAAGAAAUGCAGACGGGCGGACUGAACUGAUGCCGUGUUGAUUGUCUGCCACUUCCAUUUUCGGAAUUUCUCUGAGAUUAUAUUGCAUAUGAUUGUGUUGAUUAAAUAUAUGUAUUUUGGCUGGUAUUUUUUUGUUUUUUUAAAGGAUUGAAACUUCUGCAAUGAUGCAGUUGCAUAAAUAUGUCUGGACAUAUGAAUUUUUUUAUGAUAUAAUAUAAUUGCUUCUUCUGAGCAAAAGUAUCAAUCCAUUGAUUGUGCAUUCUUUUACCCACCACUUCUCCAGUUGGAUGAGUUUAUGUCUUUGUUUAUAUCACCAAUUUGCUAUUUGUAAUUUUAAUUUAUUUCUGCUAGUUGCUGGUUUUAAUUUUAGUUUAUCUUUUUCCCUAACUGGCCUUGAAAUCUUUAAUUGUAAAUUGCUAUUUGCUUGUUUGGUUUUCUCUGAUGACUUAUUUUAAAGAAUCUAUUAGUAUCAAAUAAGAGCAUGGCAUCUAGUCUCACAAGAAUAAGCACAAAAGACGCCGAACAGAAUUUGAGAUUUUUGCUUCCAGUUUUGGAAUUAACCAAGAAUAGCAUCCUGUGCAUGUAAAAUCUAACAAGAUCAUAAGGUAAAGGAUUAAUUGUGGCAAUGUUGAUCAAGACAAUGAAAAAUCAACUGAAAUGGGAAGACAUUGGAUAAAAAAGUGAAGCAAAUUCAGUCCGGUAUGUCACUGAUAGCAAGAGUUAAAUUUGGAAAAUGGUCUGUGAUUCCAACCAUGGUGACAAUGCAACACUACUAAACUGCAAAGAUGAAACUUGAUGACGGAUUUUGUGUAACUACUUCACAACACGGCAGCAUAAGGUUGAAAAGUUUGCAAAUUAAUUCAUCUGGUUGUUUCAUCAUUGUAUAAUUUUCUACAAGGUUUAGAGAUAAUUGAGACGACCGAUAAAUAAUUAGCUUUUCAGUUCUUUAAUUUAUUUUUUAGAUUUAGUUUGAAUUUUUAGUUUUUUUUUUCAAAUCAAUUUUUUAAUUUUUUAAAUUGAAUCAAUUAUCUAAAUUGGGUCAGUUAAGAAAUUGCUUUGUACAUUUUCAAAAAAUAUAAUCUAAAUACUAAAAUCUAAAUAGAAAAAAAAAUUAGAUGAUAAAAUUAAAAAUUUAAAAAUAAAAAAUUAAAUGGAAGGAAAAAAGUAAUUUAACCUAGAAAGUAUACAACAUCCCCUUCAGUUGCAUAGGCACACUAGAACUACUUGGUUCCUUCACAUUGAAACGAUUUUGGUGUCUCUAUACCAAUGAAACACAUGCUCAAUGUUUUAUCACAUCAUUGACGGACUUAAAGAUUUUAUAAAUUUAGCCCAUAAUAGCAUAAGUAAUUCAUAAAAUUAUUUAAGAUUUUCAAUAAAACAAACCUAGCACAAUCAUGGUCAUGGUUACGUUUACUUUGAGGAGCAUGAAAUGUAACGAUAUUGCUAAAGGACACCACAAUAAUUAGAAUGACGAGUGAUGAAAAGGAUAUCGACGUGGAAAAAGUCGUAGUAUAGUUUAUGCCUCCAAUUACAGAGGAUUGUGACACGUGGACGUUCAAGAUUUCAAUCAAUCUCAUCAACUCCUUAUAAAUUCGGGCUACGAUUAGUUGAAAUUCAUUCCAUUGUGUAGUAACCAAUCAUCUUUAGUUCUUCAGUAAUUUAUUGUGGGAUUCUAUUCUAAGAUUUUGAGAAUGUCUAGCUGUGGGUGUGGAAGCAGCUGCAACUGUGGCAGCAACUGCGGGUAUGGAAUCAUUUUUCUUUCUUCUUUUAGUAUGCUUGAUUAACCUUUAAAACUUGUAUUAGAAAUAAAAUAAAUUUUGUAUUGGAAAUUAAUUUUAACAUGACUUUUAAAUAUUUUAUUGCUUUCUCAAAAAUGGGAUUUUCAUGUGAAUCUUGUUAAUUUAUUUUUCUUAUUGCACAAGUUUAUAAGGGAUAGGAUUUUCUGUGACUAUUCUGAUUGGAUUUUUUAGUAUCCUUUAUUUUAUGAAAUUAGAUUCUUUGUUAUCCCCGACCAAAAAAAGAUGCUUUAUUUUCCUACCUACAUGCAUGGGUUUAUAGGGAUAGAAAUAUAGAAUUUUUCUAUUUUUUUGGGUAGUUUGAUUGGCUUUGUGGGUUCCCUUUUUGGUUGAAAUUUAUGAAAUUCGAUGCUUUAUUCUUCUUUCAACAUCAAUUAUUAAGAGGCUAAAACUAUGCUCUCUUUGAGACUGUUUUGCUUUCAGUGUCAUUUUUGUGCGAGGAAAAAAAAUCAUGUGGUAUUUGAAUUACUUUUUUCAUUGGAGCGUUCUUCAUAAAAUUGUUCAAAAAACAAAAUGUCUAUUUUCAGUUUUUUAUAUUUCUUGGGUACGUUCUUCUUAUAUGAUGAUCUUUACCAAACUCGAUUUUUUUUUUAAAUUUUGUUUUGCCACAUGUUUUCGUGAACCUGAUGUUUGUUGAUUUUUCUUGUAUUUCAGUUGCAACAAGUACUCUUUUGACUUGAGUUACGUUGAGAAGACAACCACAGAGACUCUAGUUUUGGGUGUUGGGCCUGUGAAGGCCCAAUUGGAGGGUGCUGAAAUGGGUGUUGCAUCUGAGAACGGUGGCUGCAACUGUGGAUCAAGCUGCACCUGUGACCCAUGCAACUGCAAGUAAGGUCAAGAUGUAUAACCUUGAAGCAGAGAUAGCUGUAAUAUAUGUAUCAACAAAUAAUAAGAAGUAGAAGUUGCGUUUGGAGCUUUAGAAUAAAGUGUUUGCUAUGUGUUUUGUUGGUCUUUUAUAAAUAUGUAAUUUGAAUCAUCAAUCUCUGCUUAUAAAUGAAUACUUUUGGUGUUAUAUGAAUAAAAAGUUUGUUGGGUUAUUUCAUUAAGUUGGGCAUAGCGGCAAUAAAGUUGCAUUUAAAUACAUUAUUACGGCUAAUUAAUAAUUAGAAUAAGAUUGAUGUUUGCUACGCAUUAUUACGGCUAAUAUAUAUAAAAUUCAAGAAGUUUCAACUGUAGCAAACAUCAAGUCAAUCUACCGUAAUGUUUCCAGAAUUGAUUGCUUCUGUAAAAAAAAAAAAGUUGAUUACUAAAAAAAGGAUUACUAUAAUAAAAAAUAAAAAAUAUAAAAAUUUGACCGAGCAAUAACGUUAUGAAAUAAAUAAAUUUAUCAUUAUUAAAAGUAGAAUAGAGCUUUCGAGCUUUUUUCCGCCUAAACUUACAGCAAAACAAAAAAAAAAAUUAUAGUCAUUAAAUAUGAUAUGCAAUUACAUCAUAUAUUUUUUAUAAUUGUAAUUAUAAUAAUGAUUAGCAAUUAUUAAAAAUUAGAAUAAUGAUAAUGGUUAAUAACUAUUAUAAUACUGCUAUAUAUAAUCUCUUUUUGGACGUUAUCCUCAAGACAUAUUUCGUUGAACACCUUGUGUGUUAAUUGAAAAAUCAAUUUAGUUAAAUUCACCUGUCAAUGGUGUAAGUAUGAUCAUGCUGCUUAUACAGGGUUGCUGUAACCAUUGCCUAUGCCGGAUCAUGUGUGACAGCACAUAUCAAUGGACUUUAUAGAGGGUCUACUCCUUUCGAAUGGCAAACAAGCUAUCUUUGUGGUGCUGGAUCGUUUGAGUAAAGCUGCACAUUUUAUACCCUUAUCACAUCCAUAUACUACCAGCACAAUAGCUCAAGCUUUUAUGGAUCAUGUUUUCAAGCUAUAUGGUUUUCCAUCCUCUAUAACAAGUGACAGGGAUUCAAUCUUCCUCAACAAAUUCUGGCAGGAAUUAAUGGCAUUCUAGGGUGUGCAAUUGCAACUAUCUAGUGCCUAUCACCCUCAGACGGAUGGACAAACUGAGGUAGUCAAUAGGUUUUUAGAAACCUAUUUGAGGUGUAUGUUUGUUGAUUCUCCUCAACAAUGGUCUAAGUGGUUACCUUUGGCAGAAUGGUGGUACAAUACCACUUUCCACUCAGCUAUUCAGACUACACCGUAUGAGGUAGUAUAUGGUCAGCCCCCUCCUAUUCAUCUACACUAUUUGCCUGGUGAAUCAAAGGUGCAAUUGGUGGAUCGCAGUUAGGCAAAAAGAAAGGAGAUGUUGAAGGUUUUAAAAUUUCAUCUCCAAAGAGCACAAAAUAGGAUGAAACAGGUGGCUGAUAAGCAUAGGUUUGACAAGCAAUUUUUUGUUGGAGACUUGGUUUAUGUAAAAUUGCAGGCCUAUAGGCAAGUGUCCAUUGCUCCAAGAGCUAAUGAGAAGCUAGCACCUAAAUACUUUGGGCCAUAUCCCGUGAUUAGUAGAAUUGGAGAGGUUGCCUAUGAAUUGAAGCUGCCUGAUCAUGCAAAAAUUCACAAUGUCUUUCAUGUUUCACAACUUAAGAAGCAUAUUGGUCAAUUCAUUCAUUCUCCAACACUACCUGAUUUUAUUCCUAAAGCUACAGGGCCUAAAGAACCAACAACAAUACUGGAUCCAAUGAUAUUGAAAAGAAAGGGACAAGCUGUCACAAAAGUUUUGGUUCAAUGGAAACAUCAACUUCCAGAGGAUUGGGAGUUCUAUUAUGACUUGAAGAGGAGGUUUCCACAGUUCGAUUCUUGAGGACAAGAAUUUUGUAAAGGGAGGGCUAUGUUAGGGAAAUGCAGUUACUCAUGUUAUUACUAAUAUAGCCUUGAUAGUUGUAAUUGAAAUCUAGAAUUGGUUGUUAGUUAGUUAGUUACUUGUUAUAAAUGGAGAUUUGUUGGUCAAGUUAGGCAGCUAUUGUAAAAAACUAUACUUUUGAAUCCUCCUCAUUGUAAUUGAUUCUAUAAUCAAUAAUAUUCAGUUUGGAUUUCUUUCUUCCCAUAGGAAUUCCUGGACAAAUUUCAGUCUAAUUCUUUGAAUCAUUGCAUAAAUUCCUAGGAUUUACUCUAUUUCCUAAACACCCAUAACAAUAAAUCAUCUUAGUUUCAAAAUAUAUAAAACAAAACUAUGAGUGUAUGUUUAAUUUGAAUUACCGAGAUAAACAUUUCACAUUCAUUCAUCAAAAUAAGAGAUACAAUCACACCCCUCGAUUGAAAAGAAUUCAAGCAUAGUUCGAAUUAAAAAAAGCUAUCAAUCGAUUACUAUGAAUGGAUUAAUCAAUCCUACCCCUAAUCCCAAAUCAAUUUCCCAUAUCUCAACAUAAUCACGCAUCAACUAAGAAAAUACAAAAAAUAGAAAAAGGGAGAAAGACACAAUUCAUAAAUAUGAAAGUUAAAGCAUGGAGGAACUCAAAUUUACGAUAGGCUUGAGACCUUGGAUUGAAAGGACAUUAGCUCUCCGUGAAAAUCUUCUUUGGAUGGUUUGAUUAAGCAAAAUAAGAAAAGAGAAGAAAGGGGAAAAAGAAAGAGAAGAGAGCACACAAACUUAUGAAAUUAAAAUGAGUGUAAUAUAAAGUGUUGUGUGUUUUUACAAAGGAGUAAAGGUAUUUAUUAUAAAAGAGAGAGUGAAAUUCGUAGGUCUUUCAACAUUGACAAAAAUCCGUUCACUAAAAACACUAAUGGACCACUAAACACAAAAUAGGCCCAAAUAAUUCAAGUGCAGGACCAAGACUUUGUAGAUCCAGUUUGACCACUUACACCUUGGAAUCAGCUAAAGCUUGUAAAUAGAAAAUUGCAGAGCUUCCUCUUAUCUUUCCAGCAAGACCAAAACCAUCUCAACCGGUGCUCUGAGCAGAGAGUUAUAACCUGUACACUCAAACAAUGCCAAGAGUAGAAAAAAAAUACAAAAAUUAAGAAAAUCUGACACUUGGGCCCAAUGAUGCCCAACCUCACAAAACUCAAUUAAAAAGGUUCAAAACCAUCAUAAAAAUGUGUUUUAUAUUUUCAGGGUGAAAUAACUAUGCCUACUUGUUUUUCACAUGAUUUUUUUGCUGAAAUUCCACACGUGGUGAAGCUCACAGAUCCUGCUUCAAAUUUGUAACUUUUAUGGACUUAAUGAGGGAGGUUGGUUAAGUAUAUUUAUUGUCCGGGUCUAAAUAAAUAUGUGACUUUUAUGGACUUGCUGAGGGAGGUUGGUUAAGUAUGAUGUAUUUUAACAAAGAACAUGUUUAUGAAGAGUGUUAAAAACCAUUUGGGAGAGGAAAAAAAUAGUUUCCUUAAAUUCCUCAAUCAGAUUAUCAGAGUUAAUGGACAUGAAAACCCCAGUUCAAAUCUUUAAGUUGCAUUUUAUUUUGGACAUGUUUUGAUGAUAUCAAUGGAUCUGAUUUGAUAAAUUUUUUAACAUUGCUUCUUAUUUCUUAUUCAAAAUUGAUCUACUGUUAUUGGGAUAAAUGAAUAUUCAUAUAGUUUUGAGCUGCUAUGUUUGAGACAGACUGCAAUCACUGCAUUCCAGAUUAGUGGUUUUGAGUUUGCUAUGUUUCACCCUCCUCCAAAACAUUCAAAUCUGCAUUCCAAAGUCCUGCAAAGUUUAAACACCAGCUUUUUAAAAGAAUCCACAUCUACUAAAAGAGACUCAAUACUUUGCCAUAAGCCAAUACGAGUCCAAACCUAAAUGCUACUUGGACUAGUAAAGAUAUUAAAUGUAAUCUUAGGAUACCAAGUUUUACAUAAAUAAUAAUGCAUAGACUUUAAUAAAAUUCUACUCCACAAAGAUAUCAAUUUCAAAGACGUUCCUACAGCCCAAGAUUACUAAUCGUUAGUGGAAUCAUACCACAAAAUAGUCAUCAUUGGCGGCUAUUAUUGUUGUUAAAAGUAGUGUUGUAUAUUAUUGUUAUAUGUCGUUAUUAGAAUUAUCCAUCUUCUUAAGAACUUUAAGUGGUUAUAAGUUUGUAUCGUGAAACCAAUUACAUUGUCGAAGAAGGUUAAAUGGUAUAAUAAAAGAAUUUCUGCAAGUAUUGGUUCAAACUUCUUAAUUUUAUCUAAUGGAUCCUAAUAAUAUUAAAAAGAAAUUCAAAAGUAACAUCAAAAUUAAUUAGAAAUAGAAAUCUAGGCCAUAAUUUGUACACGUGAUUAUAUUCUAUUGGUCUACUUAACAAACGCACCGAAAUCUUUAAAAUGUUAGAGCAUAUGGAAGUAAACACCAUUUUUUUUAAUGUGACGUAUCUUAUAUUGUUGGGGUUUCUUUUCCCCCUUUUUUCUUUUAUUGCACUUAUCAGUUGCCCCUAUCAUAGAUAAUGAUAAGAGAUUUGCAACAAAAAAAAGAUAAUGAUAAGAGAUUUAUCAGAGAGAGAGAAAAUGAUAAGAGAAGUUUGUUCUUUCAAGCAAUUCAAAGUUCUUUAACUUGAACACAAGAAGCAAGUUGUGCCACUUGAGAAGAUGAUACGUGCUCAAUUUUAAUUUUUAAAUAAAAAAGAUUCUAAAUAUUGAGCCACACUUAUCCAUGACAUCAAUCAACUGUGACUGUGACCGCUUUAACACUUGAAUUUUUGUUGUUACAUAUUAAGAAAAUGAGUACUUUAACUAGUGAUUGAUAUUGUGUUGUUCACUUUUAAAAAAAUAUCGUUAUUGAUUUUUAUAUUUUGAAUAGGCACGCAAUUCCAUCCCUACAAGCUUUUUUAUAUACAUUUCGAGAAUCGGUCUUUCUAGUUUUAAAUUAAAUAAAUUCUUGGAUCUGUGGGGAGAAACAAUGUGAUUAGGUAAUCUAUAACGUUAGUUUUCAGCUUUCAAAAUGGUAUUUUAUUCUUAGUUAUAUUAUUAAUUUGAUUUGAUUAUUCCGCUCAAAAAUUGAUUUAAUCUUUCCAUUCAAAAUCUUUUAUACAUGUCUUUAUAAUUUUUAAAUUAGGCAAAAUAGUUAAUAUUAUAUUUUCAUAAUGUUAUUAUAAAUGAGAAGAAAACCUAAACAAUAAGAAUUGUUUAAAUUAUUUAAGAAUUAUAGAAACGUUUUAAUUAUUUGUAUAUAUAAAAGCUUAAUUAAUUUUUGACUUAAAGCAUAAGUGUUGAUUAGCCUUUAAUAUAUUUUACUAGACAUAUGACCUGAUCUCAUAUGCAUGCAAGCUUGUUAACAAGGCCGCACAAAUAAAAUUUUUACACUUGGGAAUAAAAUUCAAUAAUCCAAUCCAAAAAAAUCCAUUAUCCAAUGCCUUGGGCGGUGAUACAAACUACAAAGUCCUUAGAAUCCAGAAGAAGAAAAAACUCCUUAGAAAGAUUUAUCGUUGAAAUUGUGAAUAUUAUAUUUUUUUUUUCAGUGGAGACGGCGAUCCCAACUUUCUUUUUGUUUUGGGGCCAACUGUUGAUGGCUUCUUUUUAUUUUUCAAGACUAUUUUUUAGGACAUAUUGUUAGUUGCUUAUAAUCAAUCGAUACAAGUAAUAAUGAUUUAUAAUUUUUAACAAGUUGUUAAGAGUUUAAAUUUUAACUUUUUGAGGAUGAAAUAAAUGUAUUAGAAAGAUAAUACUUAUUUUAUGAUCUUAAAUACAAAUUAAUCAUUAUUUCUUUCAUAUCAAUAAUAUGAUAAAAAAACUGUUAGAACUUAGUGAUUUAUUGUUACAACAAUAUUCGUGCAUGAAUCCAGCACUAAAUAUAGAAUUUUUCUAUUUAUGUCACUAAUUAUGUAUAAUAUAUUAGGCUCUACUCAUAGGAUCAUACAACAAUAUUUAUGUCACAAUUAUGUAUGAAUGAUAAUAUAGCAUGUUUAAAAUAGAAAGUCAUACCCCUUUGGGGAUUGGUUUAGAAUUAUAUAUAUAUAUUUUAAAAAUGGCUCUUAAGGCGAGUAUUGGGACGGCCUAAUUGAACAACUAACCAUUAAAAGAAGGUCAAAUUGUAUUUAAGUAUACUUCACUCCACUUGUAGUCACACUUGCAUCUCUAUAUAUUUUAUUAUUACAAACUAUUUGCUAUAUAUAUAUAUAUAUUUGGGUGGAUUAAUUUCACUCUAAUACUAAAAUUGCAGAACAAGUGGAAUAAUGGGUAUCUGCAUAUCCGUUGCAGAAGAAGCUCAUGAUGAUGAUAAUGUGACAAUAUUUGAAGCAAGAAAGGUUCUAAAUGGGAGUCAGAGACUUUGCUCUGUUUACUCCAAACAGGGUAGCAAAGGACUCAACCAAGAUGCUGCCUCUGUUCAUGAGGUUUGUCUUACUGUUUCAUUACUUGCACAUGAAAUAAUUCACAAUAUUUUUUGUAAUUAUUUUUAUUUUUCACUUAUUUUUCAUUUUCUUGCGUUUAUGCAUCUCACAAGUAGUGGCUAAAUCAGAAGGGACAACUUAGUUGUUCCUUCUCUUAUGUAUUUUUUUUUAUGUUUAAUAAAAGGAGCAUAAAAUUUAUAUUAGAGAAAGACAUAUCCCUUUAUAAGUUUAAGAAAGACCACCAACUUUAGCAAAGAUUUAUAGUGGAGUUUAUUUGUCAUUUACCAAUAGAGAAAAUCUGAUAAUCAAACCAAAUUGCAAUUAGCGCGAGCAGAAGACUCGACUAGAUGUGUGAAUUAAUCUUAGCAUAUCUUAUGCAAAAAUGAUAUAUGAUUUUUAAAAUAAUUAUAAAAUUCAACAAUCUUAUCUUAUGUAAUAAACCAUAAAUGAAUGACAGAAAAACUAACACAUUCUAAAUGAAGUUCAAACACAUUAUUGCUUGUUUUAUUAGUCAGUCUUCUGUAACUAAUUAAGACUAUUGGAGCACAUAAAAUUAAUGAAACAUCCUUUUUUUUUUCUUAUCUUUGUCUGUGUUUUUUUUUCCCAAAAGGGUUAUGGGAUGGAGGAUGGAACAUUUUGUGGAGUUUAUGAUGGGCAUGGAGGGAAUGGACACAAAGUGAGCAAAAUAGUAAGCAGUCGUUUAUCUUCCCUCAUACUGGACCAAAAGAAUGUUCUUGAAAGGAUUGAUGAGAUAGAAAAUGGUUACAACAACACCACAAAAAAGCAUGUUAACUCAGUGAAAGAGGAAUUGCCUGCAAGGAACUUUCAGAAAUGGAAAGAAGCAAUUGUUAGUGCUUUCAAGGUGAUGGACAAAGAGGUGAAGCUUCAAAAGAAUCUAGACUGCUUUAGCAGUGGAACCACAGCUGUAGUUAUCAUAAAACAGGUAAAGAACCUUCCCAUUAGAUUCUGUAUUUAUGAGUAAAUUACAUUAAUACCUCCUUAGAUUUUUUCUAAUUAUACAUAAUCCUUUUCUUUGUUUAAUGUUUACAAUAAUCUUUUUUGUAGGGAGUGUGUAAUUAAUAUACAAGAAAAUAUAACAUACAAGGAAGUGUAUGUUUUCAAAUAUUAAAAAAGAAAAGAGUUAGUGUAGAUAUAGAAAAAAAGUGAUAUUAUGUGUAAUUAAAAAAAAAUAGAAGGUACAGUGUAGUUUGUUUUAUAUUAUUUGUGAUUUGUGAAAAGUACAUAAUGUAACAAUUGUUAAUACGCAGGGUGAAGGUCUUGUCAUAGCUAAUCUGGGUGACUCAAGAGCAGUGUUGGGAACAAUCUAUGAUGAAAAACUCGUAGCCAUUCAAUUGACCACUGAUUUGAAACCUGAAUUACCUCGUAAGACUCUUCUUAUAAACUAGCAUGCAGUUUCUUCUUUCAGUUUCAGACAUAACUUUUCUUGAGGUCUAAACCAGCAAAAAAAUCACUAGUUAGUUAGUUAACAUAGUAAGUGAAUUAACUGACCGAAGAUUAUUCUAACUUAAUAAGUAAUCAGGAUUCUUGAGCUUAAGUCUUGAAAAUACAACUACUAUCAUAACUAAUUGGAAAAAUAGUUUUACUCCUUAUGAAAGAGAGCUACAAUUAAUGGUUACACCUUAUGAAAAUACAACUACUAUCAUAAAUAAUUGAAACUAUUUGAUUUAAGAAGAAAAAAAACUUAAAUUUGGCAGUCAGCGCGGUCCUUUCAUUAAGAAAGAAAAUAAUUUAAUUCUUUACUUUAACAACUACCAGUUAAUUUGAUAUUUAAUUUCGGUGAGUUCAUAAGCUAAUUUAGUUUCUUACCUUGGAGUAAUACUGUUUGGUACAAAAGAAAUUAAAUCAAAAGACAUAGAACUCAAUCUCGUGAUUUCCAUUAAACACGUGAGUUUACUUUUACUUCUUUAACUUUCAAAUAAUAAAUAAAAAAGUGUACACAUAACCUCUUGUAGAAUUUGCACUAUUAUUUUUCGUUCUAAAUAGACCUAUGAUUGUCAAAUUCAGACACUAAAUUGGAUGAUUUAAAGAACUAAGUUGACCAAUGUAUCAAUUUGAAGGAUUAAAAUAAAGUUAGGGACUUUUUCUUAAUGUUAAUGAUUAAGAGUAUGUUUGAUUUGUCAUUGAGUGACCUCAAACGUCCGUUUAGUUGUAGCUCUCUCUCAUAUAUUUCUGUGUUUGGUUUGUUAUUGAGUGACCUCAAAUGUCCGUGUAAUUGUAGCUCUCUUUCAUAUACUUGUCCUUUCAACGGUCUUGGAACGUGUGCUGUUAAUAAAUCAACACACUAAAUUGAUAGAUGAUAUCAACAUAUUAACUAUUAUAUAUUAAAACAAUAUUUUAUUUGAACUCAAAUGAAGCAAAAUUUUCCAAUCUAUUUCUUUUUCUCAUCUUGACUAUUGAUGAUUUUGAUCUAAUUUACAUGCACAAUAGUUAAAACACAUUCAAUUUCUUCUCACUAACAGGAGACUUGCAACAAAAGCCACUCAAUCACUUUUUCAAUAUGAUAGUCACGAGUCAUAUCAUACGGUAUAUACCAACUUAUAUUAUUCCUAUAUUUAAACCUGUACUAGUAGUUUUAAGAAGCAAAUUAACGAUGUAGACGUGUCUAAACUACUAAAACCAAGUACAUUAAUUUGAGAGGUAGAAAGAUUUAUGUGUAAUAAAUUGGAAUGCAGGAGAAGCAGAAAGAAUAAGGAGGUGCAAUGGUUGUGUGUGUGGGUCGAAUGAAGAACCAGAUAUCCAGAGAGUGUGGAUGCCCAACAAUGAGAAUUCACCUGGCCUAGCCAUGUCUCGAUCUUUGGGAGAUUUCCUGCUCAAAGAUCACGGUGUCAUUGCCAUCCCUGAUGUUUCCUAUCACCCUCUAACAUCAACUGACCAAUUCAUUGUUCUUGCAAGUGAUGGGGUAAGUCAUACGUGAUAUUUGCAUGAUACCAAAGUGUCAUUUAAUUUUUGCAUGUGAAGAUUCAAAAGAAAAUUUAACAAAAAAGAUUUACAUCAAUAAAUCAUGAGCAAUCACACAAAAAAAUUUGACAUCACACUUUAACUCAAAGAAAAAAAAGAAUAAAAACAUCAACAAAAAACUUAAAUAACUUGAAAAAUUGUUCAGCCAACAUGACAGACUAUACGGAUUUUAUAAUACUAUUAAUUAUAAACUAGUAGUGGACCCCGGACCCGUGCAUUGCAUGGUUUUAAAAAAAAAACAAAGAAAGAGAAAGUAGAAUAAUGAGUAAAAAACCUUAAGUAACUUAAAAUUUGUCUGGCCAACAUGUAGCGAUGGCUGGACAGUUUUUAUAAUACUAUUGAUUAAAAAAUCGUAAAUGAAAGUCACUUAAAUAUGAAAUGAAACCCAUAAAUUUAUGUUUCAGAAUUUAACAAAGUGUACUAAGAAAUGUAAUACGUCUCAAUAAAAAAGUUAUUUGUGUGAAAUUAAUUAAUGAAGUAUCAUUUUUGCACAAGCAUUUUUUGAAACUUUUUUGUUCUUUUCCUGUUUAUAGGUGUGGGAUGUACUAAGCAACAAUGAGGUUGCAUCAAUUGUGUGGAGUGUAGACAGUGAAGAGGCAGCAGCAAUGGCAGUAGUGGAAGCAGCCACUGCUGCAUGGAAUGAGAAGUAUCCUUCCUAUAUGGCAGAUGACUGCACCGUGGUUUGCCUCUUCCUGCACAAGAAAUCACAACUUACUAACUUAAGUGCCCCUUAACUUAUAUUCUAGACAUAAAAGCCUUGCUAGUUGCCUCAAAUAAUGCAUUGUAAUACGGCCACAAUUAUGCUUAUUGAGAACUAGGAUUCAUUGUUAGUUGCUUCUUCCUGAAUCUGAAGUUGAUGUUGAAUUAAAGCAAACUUCUGCAUUUGACAUAAAAGCCUUGCUAGUUGCCUCUUCCUGCAGAAUACAAUUGAUUUUAAAAUAUAAUUUAUGUUUUAGAUGUUCUUAUUUUAAAAGAAAUUCCCAAUGUAUAAUUUUUUUAGUCAAAUGCAGAAGUAUGCUUUAAUUCGAUCAACAUCAACUUUAGAUUCAAACUCAACUUAACAAGAAAAACAAAAUGUGAAUAUUCACCUAAAGUCAUAAAGUUAUACUAACUGAUAUUUCAAUAUGAUUUUACACAAUCUAAUAUGAAUCCAAACACAUAAACAAUACCAAUCACAUUAAUCUCUAAAAACUAAAUUACCAUACAAUAUAUGCUUUUCGUCCGUCAAAUUGAUUCAUAUCACACUUAACUAAAGAAUUAAUUUGACUUGACAGUAAAGUGCAUAUUUUGUGGACUUAAAUGAUGAUUUUAUCUUCCAGAAGCUAACACUAUCGAUGAUUAAAUUUGGUUAUUUACUUCAUCCAAAAUUGGGCAUGACCAAAGUCUCCCACAUCGCUUCUAUAAUCUUAAAUUCUUACUUUUUAAGUGAAACUCUGGGAGGAUUCAGCUGGAAAGAAAUAAUUCCCGAUUCAUAAUCCAUAAGAAACUAAUGCAACUCUUCAUAAGAUACUAAUCAGACACUUUCGACCAACAAUAUAACUUUCAUUAUAAUAUUUUCUAUUAUCAUUUAAGUGUAUCAGAAAGCUUAUGCUAUGAUAGUAAAUACCCCUCCUUUCAACACAAAUGACAAAAUCCUUCCCAACAAAAUUCAAAUAGAAAAUACCGCUCCAUCUGUGAACUUGUUUCGCAGGCAGAUGAAGAAGCAAGGGUGAAAGAGCAAAAAUGAGAGAGAACUUUAUAAAGAAGGCUGCAAUGUAAGAUGUGAAAAUGGAGAAUGAGGAAGUGUUGCAUCAGCAGACUGCAAUCUAUGAUGAGAGAAAAAAAAAACUGUGACAGGAUGAAGGUCUCUUUGUCAGGAAACAGGUAUCCUUAAUCUGUCAUGAACCUGAUGACCGCUAGCAAAUGUAUGUUGGGAAUUCAAGGGGAGUAAAGACCAGAGAGAUUUACAUCAAUGAGUCAUAAGUAAUCGCAUAAGAAAACUUGACACCACACUUUAACCCAAAAUCUUAAGACUCAAGUUUAUGGGUCUUCUACUCACUUUAUGGUGCUCAACCUUUCCACUUCUAUCGUGAGAUUUCAUCUCACACUUGUACUCCAACAAUCUAGAGCUACCAUCCCCUUGAGAAGAAUCCUCUUUCUUUUGCGCAAGUGGUUGCUUCACAUUUGGCUGCCUGAAUUGCUUUUGCAUUAUUAUAAACGAGAAACUAAUUAUUACAAAGCAAAUGAUGAUAUGAUGAUAUGAAUGACCUUGGUUAGGGGAAGACCUAUAUUUAUAUAUACCUCUCACUAUAUGAACUGAAAAAGAAAGAAAAGAGUAACAUUUCUUCCAAUCCAAACUCACUGAAUGUCUUCCUUAUCAUCCUCCCUUUGCCCAUCACUUAUUAAUCAGUCCCCUCUAACCGAAAUUCGAUUCUUCUUGUCACCUACUUUCUCCUCCCACCACAUAGAGUUAAUGCAGUUCUGAAUAUCCCUUUCCUUGUAUACGACUAGAUUCACUACCUUCAUCAUAGGGUCACAAAUAACAAUUUCAAACCCCUUGCUCAAGUUCUAGACGGUAGGUGCAUCCAUAACAAACUCCACCGUUCCAUUGAAUACAAGGAACAUAAAUAUAGAAAGAGAAGUGCUUAAGCACUAAAAACAGAAAGGUCAAUCACACUCCUCAAACUCCUUUGCCUUAUUCAUUAUCUCUUUGUAAGCAUUUGGUUCUCGAACCUUAAUGAUACUCCACAAUACACCACCCCCUGUUCGAAAUCGCCUACCAUCAACAGUCUUCUGGCCUCCACAAGCCUGUAUAGCCUCCACCUGUGACUUUCACACUUGAUUAUUCAAGUUUAUGACAUGUGUAUCAAAUGGGACAGAUAGGAAAAGAAUACCGAAAACAAUUAAAAAUAUAAAACAAGUCCAUUCAUUAUGAGAUUCAAGUCAGCAAUAUCUCAUUUAUAAAUAAUACAGAAAUAAUGUACAUCAUCCACUGCGAUUCAUAAAGAGUAUAAGCAGCAAACAAUCUCAUUCAUUAAAUCAAAAUGAAAACAGUAGAAACAAAUGCAGAGAUCCCGGAGAGUUGCUAUGAGUUAUAUUGUGGCCCUCCUGGUCAUAAGGAAAAUGCUUGAUGAUACCUAGCAUGUUCAAAACCAACAUAUUAUCUUUAAUUCACCAAUUUUCCCUUGAGCUAUUCGGCUAUAUAGAAGAAACUAAAGAAUGAUACAACUACAAUGUUAUGAAAUAAAGAUCCUGCCAUAUGAAAUUUAGAUAGCCCUCAGUAAAAUAAUGUUAUGCAUAUCUAGAGAGAUCCAAUUUUGGCUCUGACUUUGUCAGCUGCUCCAUUUAGGAGAGCAAGAUAAAGAGAAGAAAUAGAUAUCAACCUUCAAAACAAUUAAAUAAUGGAACUGGUUCAUCAGCCAGGAACAUCAAAGCUCAGAUUAAAUCUGCAAUGUUAGAUACAACAUUGUACACAUCAGAAUCAUGAAUGGUUGUAUGGUGCAAUGAAGAGUGGAUAAGCAUAAUCAGCUCAAGGCUGAUCCAAAUCAAGUAGAAUAUUGUUAUGAUUGAUCAAUAAUCAAUCACUGGACUUCGAGGGCCAGACCUCCCAAGCACGAAAAUAAGAAGAUAAGUAUUGAAUUCGAAAUGUUCAUCUGCCUUCUUUCAUUAAAUGAGUAUUUAUAAUGAAAUUACAAUAACAGAAUUUGUAUUUUUGUGUGGACAGAUCCUAACAGAAAGGGAAUAUUCUUAGUAAUGGCAGAUAAGGAUCAAGGGCUAUUCCCCUGAUAUCCAGCUCAGCAAUUCCAGCUCAUCAUGGCUCCUUUCAACGGUUGUUAACGGCUAGUGAAGUCCUUCAGGUAGGUAGGUGCUCUGAUUCUCCUUUUGGGUCUCGUUUCUAGGUUGCUAUCAUUCCUCACUGCUUCCGGAAGCACCUUGUCCUCAAGGUGGUAAUCAGCUCGCAACUGAUCCCAAUUUUCCCAGGUAGUAUCAUCUGGGGAAAGCCCCUGCCACUGCACAAGGACUUCGAGUGCAGAAUCUUUGUUUCGACGAGUAUUUAAGAAAGUCAGUGGUUGAAUCAGUAAAUGGUCAUCGUUCGAAAGUAUCGGUAAAGUGCUGGGGUGAGGGCUGGUAUCCAUCUCAGUGGAAUGGUACGACUUCAAGAGAGAGCAGUGGAAGACGGGGUGUAUCCUAGCUUCUUCUGGUAACUGUAGUUUGUAGGCCGUAGACCCAAUGCGUUCUAUGACCCGAAAGGGCCCAUAGAAUCUUUUAUUGAGCUUCGAAUAAGCACCUGUUUGACCCAAGAUCGAAACCUGCCGGUGUGGUCGAAGUUUGACCAAGACCAUGUCACCCACCUGGUAUUCAACUUCACGACGCUUCUUAUCUGCAAAGUACUUCAUGCGACUUUGAGCCUUUUCCAGCUUCUUUUUUAUUUAAGUGAAAACAGCUUCACGGUCUUUGAGCAUAGUAUCCACAACAUCAACAUUAGAGUCUCCUACCAAAUAUUGCAGAAAAUUAAAGGGUUUCUUUCCGAAUGUGAUCUCAUAUGGAGAGAGACCAGAGCUUGAGUUCCAGGAAGUGUUAUAAGACCACUCCACCCAACCCAGCAGUUUGCCCCAUGAAGAAGGCCUCUUAUGGACAAAAGCUCGAAGAUACUGUUCAAUCACCCGAUUUAAGACUUCUGUUUGCCCGUCUGAUUGUGGGUGAUAUGCAGAGCUUAAGCGCAGCUUGGUACCACUAAGGCGGAAAAGCUCUUGCCAAAAUUUGCUGAGAAACAGAGGGUCGCGAUCGAAUACUAAGCUCCGAGGCAUCCCAUGAAGUUUUCCGACAAGGUCCAUAAAGAGAAUGGCCACCGUGUACGCCGUAUGAUGUGUUGGGAGCAUGCCCAGAUGGAUUCCUUUUGAGAAUCGAUCUACAAUGACCAAGAUGGAAGUAUUUCCUCGAAAUGUCGGCAGCCCCGUGAUGAAAUCGAGGGACAAGUCCUCCCACGGCCGACAAGGCACCGGCAAGGGACACAACAGUCCUGUCGGUUUGCGUGUUUCGUACUUCGUCUGCUGACAAUCCAGACAUGAAGCAACGAAUCGUUCCACAUCCUUGCGAAUUCCUUGCCAAUAAAAAUUCUCUGUUAGUCUGGCCAGCGUCUUUGUGACACCCAUAUGUCCCCUUGUGGGUGUACAAUGGUACUCCUGUAGCAGAGUGUUCACAAUGGGCAUAGUGGAAGGGAGCCAAAUACGGCCUUUGUGAAGGACGAAGUCCUUGGUGAUUGAGAAAUCAGGAUUUUGAUCAGGUUGAGCUAUAAUGGUUUGUCGGAGUUGAAUGUAGUCUGGGCAUUGCUCCAAUUGGGCCUUGAGUUCCUGCAAAAAUGUGAAACAGGGCACUGAUAACAAGAGAAACAGCUCAGGAAUUGGUUCAGACACUCGUGACAACACGUCAGCAACAACAUUUGAACUCCCGGAACGAUAUUGUAUGUUGUAAUCGUAGCCCAUGAGACGCGCGAGGUACUUCUGUUGCUCAAGUGUUUGAAUCACCUGAGUAAGAAGCUCUUUUAAACUUCUGUGGUCUGUGAGAAUUGUGAAGCUCCAGCCAAGGAGGUACUGGCGCCACCUCUUGACGGCGACCGUGAUUGCAAAUAGCUCCCGAAUGUAAGUAGAGGCCUGAAGGAGUUUUGGGGGAAACAUUUUGCUGAAAUAGGCAACUGGGUGACCCUGUUGACUUAAAACUGCGCCCAUGCCCGUUCCUGACGCAUCUGUCUCUACGGUGAAGGGGAGAUUGAAGUCCGGUAAUCGUAGGACAGGGGAGGAAGUCAGCAUCUGUUUGAGAGUAGUGAACGCGGCAGCAGCUUCUGGAGUCCAAUGAAAAACUUCAAAUGUGAGAAGUUUGGUUAAAGGCGCAUCAAUUGAUGCAUAUCCACGAAUGAAUCUUCUAUAAAAUCCUACAAGCCCCAAAAAAUUGCGGAGUGCACACGCCGAUCGUGGUUCUGACCAUUGCUGAAUAGCCUGCACCUUAGCUAACACAGGUGCUACUCCUCGAGAAGACACCACGUGACCGAGGUACUCCACUUGAGGUUGAGCGAAGGUGCAUUUUGAGAAUUUCAAAACAAAAUGCUCCUACAAUAACACCUGAAAUGCUUGUUCUAAAUGGGAAACGUGAUCUUCAAGUGUAGCACUAUAAAUAAGAAUGUCAUCAAAAAAUACAAUUAUGAAUUGAUGAAGGAAGGGGCGGAAUAUGGUAUUCAUUGUAGCUUGGAAGGAGGAAGGGGCGUUACAAAGCCCGAAAGGCAUCACCGUGAAUUCAAAAUGCCCAUGAUGGGUUCUGAAAGCUGUUUUGCUGAUGUCACCCUCCGACAUUAGGAUCUGGUGAUACCCCUGUAGUAGAUCUAGUUUUGAAAACCAAGCUGCUCCUCCUAGCUCGUCGAGUAAUUCGUCUAUUGCUGGUAUUGGAAAAUGAUCCUUGAUCGUUAGAGCAUUGAGUUCUCUGUAAUCAACACAGAACCUCUAGGUUCCAUCAUGCUUGCGUACCAAUAGCACAGGGGAUGAAAAUGGGCUUGUACUGGGCCUGAUGAUCCCGGUUCGCAACAUGGAGCUGACCUGAGUCUCAAUUUCGGCCUUUUGAUAAUGUGGAUACCUAUAUGGGCGGACAUUCACGGGCUCAGAGUUAGGAACAAGGUGAAUAUGGUGGUCUGUGGGUCGUGAGGGUGGAAGAGUCUGGGGAGGUUGAAAUAGGGAAGCAAAUUUGGUCAAUAAGGAUUGAAUGUCUGGGGGAUAGGUGGAGGUGUUCGAAGGUGUUUCGAGGGAAGUAACCGAGAGGAGGUAGCAAGCACUAGGAUCAUAGGUUUGAACCAGGUGUCGGGCUUGAGGAACCGACAAUGGUUGAAGGGCAGAGGUGUCAUCUCCUUUGAGUUCAAUGGUACGGCCUUCAUGCAUGAACUUCAUUGACAAAGUGGUGUAGUCAGUGAGGAUGGGUCCCAGGGACCACAACCACUGUACCCCAAGGACUACGUUCGCGCCACAUAAGGGUAAGACGUGGAGGUCAAUGAUGAAGUGAAUUCCUUGAAUGACUAUUGAGACCUCAGUGCAAAUUUGGUUGCAAUGGAGGUAUUGGCCAUUACCAACCAUGACCGUGAGGGGUGUGGUGUCACUAGGAAAGAGGCCCAAUUCUGGAAGCAUGGCAUCUUGGAUGAAAUUAUGGGUACUACCCCCAUCCACCAAGAUUAAAACCUGUUUUGAAGCCACUAAACCUGAGAAACGGAGUGUUUCUGGUGCUAAUGGACCCGUGAGAGAGUGAAGAUUAAGUUGGGCUUCAUUCGGGUCAUGCGGGUGAUGCGGUUCGGGUGAAAGGCCCAAAGGCACAGCUUCUUUAGGAGAACGCUCCUCCUCAUCCACAAUUAGGAGAUUAACCCUAGCUUGGCAGCGGUGGCCGCGAUGAUAGCGUUCAUCGCAUUUGAAGCAGAGGCCUCGCUCCCUGCGAGAGGCCAGUUCGUCCGGCGUCAGGCGUUUCAACGGCAUCGGCGAGAGGGACUGUACCGAGAUGGUGCGUGGUGAGGGGGGAACAGAAAUCGGGGUUGGUGGAACCAUCGAGAAGGAAGGUGACCGAUUUCGGAAGGAGCGGCGGUUCUCAACAAGUUUCUCUUCCUGCAAGCGGGCAAGGCCCGCCGCUUGGACCAGCGUUAAUGGUUGUAACGCUUGGACCUCGCGGCGGAUGUCUGGAUUCAGUCCUGAAACGAAACAGCUGAGGAGAAAAUGCGGUGGAAGACCCACCACGCGAUUGGCGGUAUCUUCGAACUCUGAAAGGUAAGCUGCAACGGUGGUGCGCUGUGUCAAUUUAAACAGGGUUCCGGUAGGGUCGUCAAAUUGUGAAGACGUGAACCUUGUUUGGAGAGCAUGAAGGAAACCUGCCCAAGUCGAGAGUUGGCCGUUGCCGACCAUCCAUUGGUACCAGGCCAAGGCACGUCCGUCCAUGUAAAAGGACGCGAUGGUCAAACGCUCGUGUUCAGGGGUAUGGUGAUAUUCAAAAAACUGAGUAAUUUUGAAUAUCCAGCCUAAGGGGUCCGUACCAUCAAAUCUGGGAACAUCAAGUUUGACGCGGGGUGGUUGGGAAGCAGAAGGUGAAGGUGAUGGGUUAUGAGGAAAAGAGGUGGGCAAGGAAUCAAGGGAUUUGGAGGUAGAAAGGGUGGUGAUUAGGGUAUCUAAUUUGUGGGUCAUGGUUUGGAGGCUUUCACUAAGGCUCAUCUGAUGGGUAGUCAAAAUGUUAUGAUUGAUCAAUAAUCACUCACUGGACUUCGAGGGCCAGACCUCCCAAGCACGAAAAUAAGAAGAUAAGUAUUGAAUUUGAAAUGUUCAUCUGCCUUCUUUCAUUAAAUGGGUAUUUAUAAUGAAGUUACAAUAACAGAAUUUGUAUUUUUGUGUGGACAGAUCCUAACAGAAAGGAAAUAUUCUUAGUAAUGGCAGAUAAGGAUCAAUGGCUAUUCCCCUGAUAUCUAGCUCAGCAAUUCCAGCUCAUCAUGGCUCCUUUCAACGGUUGUUAACGGCUAGUGAAGUCCUUCAGGUAGGUAGGUGCUCUGAUUCUCCUUUUGGGUCUCGUUUCUGGGUUGCUAUCAAAUAUCAACUCUCACAUUCCCUUACAAUAGACAAGCAGAAGCCACAUCUCUGUUUGAGUUAGGAAGAUAUAAAAAAGAAACAAAUAAAAAAAGGAACAAUUUAUUUCAAAAUACAGCAAUUUACAUUCUUGAUGGAGAUUAAAGAAAGAGAGGCUAGAGAGCCGGUGACAAGCCAAGAAUAUGAAUAUCCAUAAAAGUAUCAAUAGCACUGAAUUGAUGGUGUAGAGAACCAUUAUGGCCAGCCAACGAUGAUAGAAACCUAAAAAGAAAACAACCAUGACAUUUCAUUGAAAGUUGUAUAGACCAAGUAAAAAGAAAACAAGCUUUCAACAUGAAAGCAACAUUGCAAUGCAUGAUAGGGGGCUCCAAUACCCAACUUGCAAAGGUUGCAUACAUCUAUCUUUCACUUUCCCCAUUAGAUGGGAGCCUCAUGCACUUGGCCUUUCAUUAUUUACAUGGAUAAGGUAAGAGCAAUGAACUAUGCUUCAAUUCAAUGAUAACGUGGAUCCGCUUUAGCCAGUGUACCAUAUAGCAAUGAGAGAGAAAAAUCUAGGUUAGCCCCAUUAAUCAAGUGGGUCCCACUAGAACCCUAUUUUUUUUUCCUCUCCUACUGUAGGUGCAACUGCUGUAGAGAAACCAGGGGGGGAUGUGAUUCCAUUGAAGAAUCACUUUAGCCAUGAGAAAAUGGCCAGUGCAUAUUAAUCACGUGUUUGGUUAAUUUUGGGUCUGUAUGAUUUAAACUUUAGUAAAAUUGAUGUCUAAAGAAUAUGUUAAAAAAAUUGAUUUGCGGUUAGAAAUGAAAUUUAAAAGUGAGUUUAGAAUAAUUGGUUUCUGUUUGGAUGAUAAAGUAGAAUUAUUUUUCAAGCAUAAACAUGAGUAUACUUUUAAAAAAUGUUUGGGUUGUAUAUCUAGAAUCAAUUUUACAUUUUUGAAAAGGACAAUAAUUUUCUCUUAAUCCUAAAUCAACUCUGCUCAAUGUUACCUGUGGCAUAACUCAAGUACUCCUAAAGUCAUACUGUACACAUACUGUACUGAGUAGGUGACUGUAUUUAUGUUGUUGGGUACUCGUAGAUACUCCUAAGUCCUAGGUCAAAUGUUGGAAAAAAUAAGCUUUGAUAAUUUGAUUCCUUAAAAGAUAAGUAGAACUUGAAACCAAAUCCCAAAGGAAUGAUUGGUCGUGUAUGGUGCUGCAAUUUCCUAACUUGAAUCCAUUGCAUUGAAAUUUCACAACCAUCCUCUAUCUUUUCUUAUGAAGUUGUGCUUAUUAGUCAUUUAUACAAUCUAGUUAUGGUUAUAUAAAAUUGUAUAUUUAUUUUCUUCUUUAGGUAUUCUUACGAGAAAAGUCAUAAAAGUAAUCAUGCAUAAAUAUGAUAGGAUUGAGUUUUGUCUCUUCCAACAAAAUUUUCUCCAUAAAUAUCACCAGAAAAUCAAACUCAUCUCAGUAUGCUCAAUCAACUUACCCCUAUCCCCCUAUCCCGUGCUCAUAUCCUUGCCAGUUGCAACAUAAGUGGCAAUCAUGGUUUUCACAGGAAACAAACAGACCCUUAUAAAAUAAAAAGACAUUUCUAGGGACGAGAAUCAUAAAAUUUUUAACUCAUCAGAAAUUCCAUUCAUAUUACUCACAAUAUCAAAACACUUGGAAGAUAGCUUAUAGAAUGUUCUCCCCAUUCUCCAUAGGAAAACACGCCACAACUCUAAUAAUCUCUACCUAGCCCUGUCUCUCUGUAUUAUAUAUCUCAGUCUUUCAAUUGAUGCCGCCGCUCUGUGUUGAUAUCGCCGACUUAGCGUAAUUACGCAUACCUCCUCAAUGCUUUAGCGUUAAUUAGUUAUAAUCAUGGUGUUAAAAAAUGAAAUGAGAAAAUAGUUUGAAAAUUGUAACUCAUACAGUAAAGAUUUUGCGUACUAUCAUCAUUUUUUAGCUUAAAAAUUAAGUUUUAAACAAUUCAAUAUUUUAUCUAAAAAAAUUAACAUUUUAGAUUUGAAUUUAAUUUUUAUAUUCGGUUGGUAUUAAAAAUUUUAAUACAAAAUUUAAUAUAAUUUAAUUAUGUUAUCUUGUCAUCUUUUUCACUAAUGCUAAUAAGAUGAAUUCUUAUAGAAUAUUUUACUAUAAAUUAAACACUUAAAAUUUACACUAAUUCCAAUAAAAGUUGUCAUAUAAUUAAAAAUAUCAUUUUUUUAUUAUAAUUCAUUAAAAAUAUUAUAUAUUUAAGAUCAUUUCUAAUUGAUAAAUUAAAUUCUAAAACAUAUACCUAUUUUUUCUGUACCUUCCCAGUUGCUUUAUUAAUUAAAUUAGUAAUUUUUAUAAAUAAAACAUAUUAAUGUAUAAAUAUAAUAUAUAAAAUAAAGAACGGAUAUAUAUAUAUAUAUAUAUAUAUAUAUAUAUAUAUAUUUUUUUUUUUUUUUUUCAAUUAAGAAAAGUGUAAGUAUAUGAAAAGGUUUAAAAGGAUAUGAAAUAGGGUAGGAAUGAAAACUACUAGAAGAUGCUGCUAAACAUUUGCAUUCUAAGUCUAAACAUUUUUAUUGAUCUGUUAUUUGUCUGAGCUGCUGUUAAACAUGAAAAAUUGUAGGUUGUAUUCUUUUUUUUUUAAAGGAGUUAAGUUGUAUUCUUUAAUGAGUUCAAAACUUUAUUCUUCAUAUAUUUCAUAAGAUGGUGACUAAUUUUUAUAUAUAUUCUCUUCAUAUUUCUUUUUCUUUCAUUGACACAAAUGGGAUAAGGAUGAAAUGGAAAAUUUUGAUGGUACUUGAUGGACAUAACUAACUUGAUGGACAUAAAGUUGUAAGUGGACUAAUUUCUUAUUUAGAUCCUUUUGUGGUUUGUCAAUCCUAAUUUUACUUAUUUGAUAUAUGACACACUAAAUUAGAUUUUUCUUGUCAUUUAUUAGUAUAGGUGAUGAGAAAAUAAUAUAUCAAUGAAGUAAAUAAGGAUGUAAAUAAAGUAUUUUUUAUUUUAUCAAAUUUUUUUAAGUAGAAUACAUAUUCUUUAUUUUGUUAUUAAUUAUUUUUAUUUUAUUAUUUUCCUUCUUGUUGAGGAUUCGAAAGGAAUAAAAGUAUGAAAAAAAUUUAAUCACAAACAAAUCAUACAAGUGAACUUAACAUUAUACUUCAAAUAAAAAAUUUAAGGUAUUAAUUUAUGAAUCUUUCUCACUUAUAAGUUAUUCAACUCAUUUAUUUUUAUCCAAUGUAAGAUUUUAUUUUGACACUUUUAUUCAUUUAUAGAUUGUUGACAUUGAUGAGCAAGAGCAUUUGUGGCACCAUGUGGCAUUUUGCUCUUCCUCUUCCCCUUCCCCUUUCUCCAUUUAGAACUAUAGGAUUGCCAUAUGUUAGGUGCUAUAGAAAGAGGGUUAAAAAAAGGGGAAGAAAACAUAUAUUAGAAAAGGAUAAAAAAAAUGUCAUUCAUUGAUUUUUUUAUUUAAAAAGCUGACAGUUCUAAAACACUCUCCCACAAUGGAAGAUAACAAUAGUAUUAAAAAUAAUUGGACAAUAAUAGUAUUAUAGAAAAAAAUAACAAUAAUUGAACAUUUUCAAGAGCUUAUAGAAAAAAAAAUACUUAGUAGAAUAUUCAAACAGCAUUAGGCGAAUAUUUUUAGUUUUUUUUUAGUUAUUGCAACUAACGUGAAACUUAUCUGAGACAUAACAAUUCCUAUGAUCUCAACAGUGAAAUUCUUUUUAAAUAAUUAAGAAGGAUAUAUGACUAUUUUGUAAUUUAAUUCUAAAAAAAUAAAAAAUUUCAUUUUCUCAAAAUGUGUAAGAUUUGUAGCAAUUAGAUCAAAUUGGUUGUAAAAAAAUUAUAAGCUAAUGUAAAAUUGGUUCAUAAACAUUAUAAUUUAAAGAUAAAAUACUUUUAUCUAAUUAUUGUAUUUUUUAUACAUUCAUGAAUUAUGAUAGAAAAAUUUAUUCUUUCAAAGAUUAAGUUAUUAUCAAAUUGCACAUUUAAUAAUUAAAAUGACUAUUUAUCCAAAUUAAAAAAUUAAGUUAUUCAGAGAAAAUAUUAAAUUAUUUUUUUCAAAAAUUUAAAUAUUAAAAAAUUUAAUCUUUUUUUUAUCCAUAAAAAUUUAACAUAAUAUUAAAGAUUUUGCAACACUUACAAAUCAUGUUUAAUUAAUUGAGGUAGAUUCGAUUGUUACUUAAUGGUUUAAAGUAAUCCUGAUUUCAAACUAACAAAAAUUUUAAGUUUUAAAAAACUUAUAUUAAAAUAUGAAAAAGGGAAAAGAAAUUAAUCGAUAACCAAUAUUUAUUAUUAGUACCCGUUACGUAAAAGAAAUAUUUUGGAGAAGGAAAAUGAUCAAUUAUUAAUUCGUGAAGUAGCAUUAUGUCUAUAAUAUAUAUAUAUAUAGAGAGAGAGAGAGAGCUAGUUUAUAAAAAUAUCUCCUAUGUUGUGGUUGCGGACCAGUCUACGUUGUUUAAAGAUUCAUAUUCAGAUUCAGAUUCAGAUUCAAAUUCAAAUUCAAAAGUCCCAUCCAAAAUAGACAAUGAAAAUAAAUGCAAUAGAUUCCACUAAAACAGAUAAAUAUCUAUUGAAAUGUCAAUAAUGCAGAAAGCAACAGCCAACAGCCAACAGGCAAUAGAGAAGCACUCCAAAAGUUAUAUCUUUUGAUUGAUUGGUGAGUUAAUCAAAUGGUAUACAUGUCCUUAAGUGGUUAAUGGAUCUAAGUGCAUGUAUAUGCAAAGAGUAUCUAUUAGAAAAGAUUAAUUCUUAAAUAAACAUUCGUACUUUUCUAUUUUUGGAUUCACCAAGAAAAACACAAUAUGAAGACUUUAGUCUGAAUUACAAGUAUUUUUUAUAUGAGAUAAAUUCAUUGAUUUUUUUUUUACAUAGAAAGUUUUAUUGCAAGUAGAGUUUUAUUAUAAUAUCAAUUAAUAUUUUUUUUCUGAAAUCAUCAAUUAAGAAAUUGUAUUAUUAGAGAUUUUUGUUUUUUAUAUUUUAAAAACUUUAUAAAAAAAAUAGUGAUUUUUAUUUGACUAAACCACCAAAUUUCACAAAGCCAGUCACAGCAAGCAUGUGAAGAGGGGGGCAACAAGCCACGUUACACCAAAGCUGAGCAGCCCUAGGGCAUUCAAACAGACAAUGAAGGGUAGACUCCUCAAUAUCCCCACAAACCAGACACCCUCUCAAGGCUUGGUGUCUUAGCUGCCAGGUGAAAAACUGUAUAUUAGCUGGGAUUAAAAUUGAGGAUUAAACCAACAAAUGCACAUUAUUUUUUUUUAGUUUACUAUAGUUAAAUCUUAGACUUAGGGAUGAUAAAAUAGAUUCAAAUCCUAGAAAUAUUCACAAGUGGAAAGAGUAAUUAUCCGUUUAUUAAGCCAGAGGAUAAGAUAAGUAUGAAUACUAUAAAACCUACCCAUCUUGCACAUGACACACACACACAUAUAUAUAUAUAUAUAUAUAUAUAUAUAUAAAAUUAAAAUAUAUUACUUAAUUAAAUAAUUUAUAUAUAAUAAUAACAGUCUAAUAGAGAAUAGUUAAUAUUAUUUUAACUUAUCUUAUAUUAAAUUUGUUUCAAAUUUUAUUUAAGAAAAUUAAACUAUUAUUUAUUUUUAUGUAUAAAUUUAUGAAUUAGUUGAUAAGUUUUUUCUAAGAUUUCUUUUAAACUAUAAACAUAUAUUUCGUGUUGUUUGGUGCUUCAAAUUAAUAGUAUAAAUUUAUACUUAUUUAACUUAUCUUUGUAAUGAUAAUGAUUAUCUUUGUAAGGUUCUUUAUAGUAGGAUUGAUAUUGUAUUGGGAAUUUCUUGUCACCUAUUACAUUCACUCGUCUAUAGGAUAAGAGUGAAGAGACACAAAUUAGUUUGAUCUAUGAUUCUAAGGCCCCUAGAUCUUAUAUAGAGAAUUUCCUUAUUUUCUUUAGUAACCGUAUUAUUGUGGUUAGAAGUAUUGAUAAUUUUAUCGAUGACUAAUUUUUAUUGGGAAAUUAAUUAUCUUUAAUAAGAUUUUUUUUUUUAACCAUUUUUUUUACUAGGAUGAUAAAAUGAGUUAGACCCAUCAAACCAAUUUAUUUUGACCCAUUCUAUUUUUGACAGAUUGGGAGUAGGGUUUUCAACUUACCAACUUACUUCAACUCACACUUUGUAGCCUAUAAAAAAAUGGGUUAAGGAAAAAAAAAUGGAACAGGUCAACCCAUCAAAGUGUUUUUUUAUUAAAAAAAGUUAAUAUAUAUUUUAAUAUUUUAUACAUAUGUUUAUUAAUUUUAAUUAUUUUAUUUUUUGUCGAAAUAAAUUAUCAUUCAAAAUUUAAGGUAAUAUAUUAAAUUUUUUAGUAAAUAUUUAUUAUUUAAUAUUUAUAAAAUACAAAAUCAAUUAAAAUAUAGUUAUUAUUAUUAUUUUUUAAUAAUUUAGUUUUGACAUAUGAACGAGUAAAUCUAAAAAAAAUAAAGAAUCUUAUGAGAGUGAGAGAAUUGACCUAUUUUUUCGGGUUGAUGAGGCGGGAUAAAUCAACCCAUUUUAUUACUUAAACUUUUUAUAUUUAUAAGAUUUAAAUGUGAGACUUUUGUUAAAAAAAUAUGAAAUCGAAUACCAUUCAAAUGAACCACACGAUACAAUAUCCUUAUUUAUUUAUAGUGUAAAUUAUUGGCAAGUUUUUAACCAUUUAGGAGGAGAGUAAGAUAGGUAGAAUGGAGGAGGAUCAUGAUUCAUGAAGUGCUAUCGAAAACGUCAGCGAAAAAGGCAAGGUGGUCCUACAAAUGAAACUUCGCAAUGAACGUAACCAAGAAUUAGGAAAGUAUCCAAUUCCUACCCCACACGCCACUCCAACCUCUCAUCUAAAUUCCCACCUAAUACCAUAAUUAUUGUUUCUCUAUUUAAUCCACUUCCCCCUUCCCAACUCAUUCACUCUACACUCUCCAUAUGGCCACUCUUCUUCUUCCCACGCUCCUCCUUCUCAUACCCUUCGCCACCCUCGUCUCCGCCCGCCCUCACCUCGCCGGAGACUUUCUCCGACUGCCCUCCGAAACCGAUAACGAUGACAACGUCCAGGGCACCCGCUGGGCCGUCCUCCUCGCCGGUUCCAAUGGCUACUGGAAUUACAGACAUCAGGUCCAUCUCAUACACAUGACACUUCAAUUUUUAUAUCUUUGAUUUCUUAAAUAAGUUCUGGGGUUCUAAUCUUGUAGAAAAAAAAAAUAUGAUUAAAAGAAGAAAUUAACUUUUAUCAAUAUCAUAGUAAUAGAAAAUAAAAUUAAAAAAAAAAUCAUCUAAAUAUAAAUCAUCCAACUGAAUAAACGUCCACACCUGUCAGACUUGAUAUUCAAGAAACUGUGAAACUAUCUGAUUGAGCACAAGUGGACCUCUGAUAUUUGGACCUAAAUACCUAAUGAUAACAAUUUCUAGAAAGCAUGCUGAAUAAAUAGGUGUGACUCCCUUUGGUCACGUCAGGUCUUAACCGAGAUUAGGACUCUUCAGCGGGUAUUUUUUUGAAUAGAGGGGGUGUUCUUAGCCACAAUUAAUUAUUACAAAAUAUAACAAUUUUCUGUUAUAUGAAAAUCCGGUUACUUUAAGUAUAUUCAAAUUAAAACGUACACAUAUAAUUCCUCACAAUUUCAAUUUUUUAUUAUUAUUUAUAGAUAAAAUAAUAUAUGCGCCAGCAAUACAAAAUACUAUCAUUCAAUCACAAAUCUUAUAAAUAACAGCACUUUACAUUAAUAAUAUAUAGUCAUUAAACUCGUAAUAUUAUUAUUACUUUUUGCUUUAAUGAUUUAGAGUACUCUCUUUCUUCCUUGUGGUGAUGGUGUAUAGAAACAUGGUGGAGAGAAGUGAGACAUGCAUAUCGUAGCAUGUUUCUGCGUUUGAGUCAUUCAGCUUGGCUAAGAACUUGUUCUUUCGGUUCUUGCUAGCUUAUUGUUAUAACCAGCAGAUGUACUGGAAAAUACCAACCUUAGCUGUUGGGUUUUAAUUUAAAGUUAAAAUAUAGGAAUAGUUACACACUUGUCCACUUGUUCUUAAAAAGUUGCAACUAUCUCCCUUACUUUAUAUAUUAUUCUUAUUCUUAUAUGUUGACAUCUAUUGUUUUUGAAAAGUUACGUACAGAUAUAUAUGUAAGGACCAUAUGCAUAGUAGGGUAGAAAAACUGUGAUUAGAAGAAAAUAUAUUAUUGAUCCCGUACACAACACUCAAUCAAUAUCAAUUCGUCCCCAGUAUGAAAACGAUUGCAAUAAUAUAUAGUCUUUUUACGUAAAAUCAUCUACAAAGUUAUCUCUGACAAAAUUGAAAAUGAUUGACACCUUAAUAAUUUAAUUCAACAUUAUAUGUAUGUAUUUUAAUUGUUUAGUUUUAAUGUUAAGUCUUUGUUGUUCUAUCAGGCUGAUGUUUGUCACGCCUAUCAAAUACUAAGGAAAGGUGGCCUGAAAGAAGAAAAUAUUAUUGUUUUUAUGUAUGAUGACAUUGCAUUCAAUGGGGAAAACCCAAGGCCUGGAGUCAUCAUUAACAAACCAGAUGGAGGUGAUGUUUAUGAAGGAGUUCCAAAGGUAAGUUAUGUUAGUUUUUUAACAUCCCGUAUUUUAUUGCUAUUUCAAGUUGAGUAAAUUACCCCAAUCAUUUUUGAGGUUUUGUGAAAUUACACAAACACUUUUGUUUUUUUAACCAUUACAAAAACCUUUCUUGUAAGGGGUGUUAGUGUAAUAUAUAAGAGGGUGUCGGUGUAACGCCUUCAAACAUAUGAGGGUGUUAAUGUAAUGUUUUCAAAAAUAAAAGGGUGUUAUGUGUAUUAUGAAAAAAACUUAGAGGGUCCAAGUGUAAUUUGUUUUCAAGUUUGAUAGGUUCUAAUAUGAAUUGUUUUAUGGCAGGAUUACACCGGCGAAGAUGUUACUGUUGGUAACUUUUUUGCUGCUUUACUUGGAAACAAGUCGGCACUUACUGGUGGCAGUGGGAAGGUUGUGGACAGUGGACCUGAUGAUCAUAUAUUUGUAUACUAUACUGACCAUGGAGGUCCAGGGGUGCUCGGUUAGUAGCUCUAAAUUCUUUCACUGAAAAUUUUGAUCAAAGUCAUGGAUUGGAUUAUGGUUUAUACGGGUUUCAGUAUGGUAUAGGCCUUGAUUGAGGUUGUUACUGACAAAUAGUGUGUCUACUAUCGUUGUUUGAUUGAUUGUGUUUACAUUUUCUUGAUUAUGCAUGAGUAGAAUGAAACCUCUAAAUAUUUCAGUGUCAGCUAUGAUUUCCUCAAAGUGGUGUUUGUGUUCUGUGGUAUUGGAUAGAAUCGCACAAUAAAGUGAAAAUUGCAUACAAAUCAAUGAUGUAUCUAAAGAGGAUGAUAUAUUUCAAAACUACCUUCUGUUUGUUAGAAUUUUUUAUUAUCUCUAAUAUUUUUUUUGUAAUUCUGUAUUUUCAAAAGGAAUAAGGGUUAAAGGGAAACUAGGUGUUAUGCAUCAAUGCAUCAUAGCUGGACUAUCACAUAUUUGUGAACUGAUUACAUUAGCUUAUGAUCUAAAUGUCUAUUCAACAAAUGGUUAUACUAUACAUUCAUCAUGUCUAAUACAACUUUUAUUACGUACUGAGAUGAAAAUCAUGCAUUGUAGUUUUAUAGUCCUAUUUAUCCAUUAUCAUAUUGUCACUCUUUUCUAGAGACUUUUUUAUGUCCCAUGAUUCAGUAAUGGCCUGUCUGUAUUUCUUUUUUGAGUUCUUUUUCAAUACAUGUGGAUAACAUGAAGGGUAAAUUACAGUUACCAGAGGAAAAGGAGAAAAGAAGAGGGAGAGAGGGGUGGGAUAUGUGGUCUUCAGUGUUUUUGCUAUCCAAUUUGUCUUUUGACCAUUAUUUCUUCUGUCAACAUUUCUAUUGGAUCAUUACAUGACAAAGUGAAUCUUCCUACCAAUAAUAUUAAUAUCUGCUCUAUUUCUUGUUUUGGGACAUGGGAAUGGAUUUUAGGGAUGCCUGCUGGUCCUUACUUAUAUGCGGAUGAUCUGAUUGAAGUCUUGAAGAAAAAACAUGCUUCUGGAACGUAUAAAAACCUAGUAAGUCACUAAUAUAGUUAUCCUCUUCUUAAUUUUGGUACCAAUCCUGUUUAAGCUGUUUAAUAAUACUACCUCUGGUCCCUAUUAUAAGCAACAAGUGUAAUGUAUUUUUACACUACACUUAUUACUUAUAAUAAGGACCGGUGGUAGUAUCAUGUUUGGAUUUGAUUAUUUUUUAGGUAACUAAUUUUUCCUCCCAAAAGCUCUCUCACAAAGCUUUUGGGGGCUAUGGUUAUAAGCUGUUUUGAACACAAAAUAAGCUAAAUUGACCCCACACUAAAUUAUAUUUGGAUUUACAUGAUGGUAAUGCAGGUAUUUUAUCUGGAGGCAUGUGAAUCUGGGAGUAUCUUUGAAGGUCUUCUUCCCGAAGAUAUCAAUAUUUAUGCAACCACAGCUUCCAAUGCAGAAGAAAGUAGUUGGGGAACAUAUUGCCCUGGGGAGUAUCCUAGUCCUCCCCCAGAAUAUUCAACCUGCUUGGGUGAUCUGUACAGUGUUGCUUGGAUGGAAGACAGGUAUGUGCAUAAUAAGUAAUCAUAAAUGAGAUUUAUGUGAAUAUGUGAUGAUACUUAUAUACUCAUGAUCCAUGCAAUCACAAUGGAGUAGUUCAAUGCCUGUGACUGCUGUAUUGUGUCUGUCUCUAUAAGAGUUGUAUAUACUAAUUGUUUGUACAUUGAAAGCUUUUUAUAGUAAAAUUAUAUUUAUUUUUGCACUUACUAUUUUUUUGUUAGAUCAGAAGAAUUUUAUUUUAUAUAAGUAAUGUAAAUUUUUUAGGGAUUAAUGUUAAUUUUCUUUACUUGUGAGCAGUGACAGACACAAUUUACGAACAGAAACUCUGCAUCAACAAUAUAAAUUGGUAAGUUAUUGUUGCUAACUUGAUUUAAUUUUUUAAAUUAAAUGGAUAUAAAUUGAAGAAUAUAAUUCAAUAGCUUGAUUGCUUAGUUACAAGUGAGAUUGUUUUUCUUAAUUUAACUCUUGGUUUAAUUUUAUGGGUGAAACAUUGUGUUAAGAAAUGUGUGACUGAUGUCUUCUUUACUCUUGUGCUUACAGGUUAAAGAGAGGACUAUAUCUGGAGAUUCAUACUAUGGCUCUCACGUGAUGCAGUAUGGUGAUGUACGGCUUAGCAGUGAUGUUCUCUUCCAUUAUUUGGGUACAGAUCCUGCUAAUGAUAAUUUCACUUUUGUGGACGAAAACUCCUUAUGGUCACCUUCAAAACCAGUCAACCAACGUGAUGCUGAUCUCAUCCAUUUUUGGGAUAAGGUAUCUUGUUUGUGCAAUAUCUGUUAUUUUUAUGUUAUUGAUUAAUUGCUUGAUCAUGUCAUCACCAGUGACAACCAAUGAACAUAUGUGAUGAACUGAUAAUGGGAACAAACCAUAUUGUUUGCUUAAAUUAGUUGAGUAGUGUGUCUGAGUUGUCGUGAACUCCCCGAUACCUAAGUUUAAUUUCUAUGGAUAAAAAAAUUAAUGUUCCCCAGUGUUGAGAGUAAAGUAGAAGAGUUAUGACCAGAUAUUUUGAGUAUUUGUAUGCAGUAGAACUUAACUAGUAAGAUAUCACAUAUGAGGAAGUAAAAUCGAUAGAUUUGGAAAGUUAUGUACAUCUCAUGCCUUGUUGCUAUUGAAACAUGGAGGAGUUGCUAGCAAGUAACCCUCUUUUCCCUUGGAUGUUUGGCACCAAAUGCUAAAACUACAAGAAAAUAAAGCUUGCAAUCUGAUGCCACAUUUUAUUAAGUGGGUCAUUAAAUUUUGCUUAUUAUAUAUUCAUUAUAUUGUAUAUGUAUAUCUUCUUGACUCUGUCUUCACUGUUUAUUGCCAGUUCCGCAAAGCUCCUGAGGGUUCUCUCAGGAAAAAUGCAGCUCAGAAACAAGUUUUGGAAGCAAUGUCUCAUAGAAUGCAUGUAGACAACAGUGUAAAACUUAUUGGGAAGCUUUUAUUUGGUAUUGAAAAGGGUCCAGAAGUACUCAACGCUGUUAGACCGGCAGGAUCGGCACUUGUUGAUGAUUGGCACUGCCUUAAAACCAUGGUAUCAUUUUUGUUCUGAAGCCAUAUGAUAGAUAGACUUUUCGUAUAAAAAUGAGCUUAAGAUCUAUCUCUGAACAGUGUAAAAUUUUUUACACUGUCAAUUGAUAAAAAGUUAUCUCAAAGAUGACUUAAAAAUAAUUAUUAUAAAAACUUUUACACUGUGAAUUGAUAAAAAAAAUUAUGUCAAAGAUGACUUUAACAUAAUUAUUAUAUUAUAAAAGUCAAUAAAAUUAUUGUAUAUGAUAAUUUUUAAUUGAUUAACCGCGUAAAAACUCUCUGUGCUGUUGGCGCAUAUAUUAUUUACUCUAAAAAUAUAGUAUAAUAGAAUUAGAUUCAUUGCUUAUUGGCUUGAUCCUUGAAACAAUGAUGAAGUUGAGCUUUGUGAUGGAUUCUAAUUGCAUAAUGACCUCUUUACACAUGAACAAGGGCAAAGAUUAUUGUGAGACCUUAACAAGGGCAAACAUUGUUGAACUAGAACAUGGAAUUGACACUCUUUUCUUGAUUUCAGUAUAGCAUCUCUUGUUCACCUUGGUUUAUGACAAAAUGCUUCACCGUUUAAUCUAUUUUGAAUGCAGGUGAGGACUUUUGAGACACAUUGUGGAUCCUUGUCUCAGUAUGGCAUGAAACAUAUGAGGUCCUUUGCAAACAUCUGCAAUGUAGGGAUAAAGAAUGAGCAAAUGGCUGAGGCCUCUGCACAAGCUUGUGUCUCUAUUCCUUCCAAUCCUUGGAGUUCUCUGCAAAGGGGUUUCAGUGCAUAAUAAUUCCUGUAAUGUGCACCAGUAAAGACCAAAGUAUGAUUAUUGUUACAUUAUGCUAUAUGAUUGUACUUGUAUAUACAUAUUUUGUCCCGCCUUUGUAAAUACAAUUGGGACACUACUAGGAUUGGGAAGAAGGGUCUUUACAUUUUUAGUUUGGCAAAUAGAUAUUGCAACUACCUUUGUAUAAAUCUAUUUCUGAAGAAGCAAUUACAACUUUCAAGGGAUGAUAGCAUUUUGUGGCAUAAGGAUUAAGGAGGCAUAAAGGACCAAUUGCUUUGGAAUAUUCACUCAUGACAAGGCACAAGGUCAUGCGUGUAUGCCAACACAUAGUAAUGAUGUGUGUUUUUAUUCAGUAGGCAACUGGCAGAUCGGGUUUUCCCUUGUCACUUUUGUAUAAUUAUUUUGGAAGAAUUUAUGAUGUCAAAGUUAUUGUUUAAUAUUAAUGGCGACAUUGUAUUUAUUAUUUGUAAAAUAUUGGGACUCAACUAUGCUUUGGUACCUUUACAACAGAGUCAUUAGGAUAAAGUACGACUAUUCUAUUAGUUGUGAUUAUUUUGUUGAUGCUUUUGUUUAUCUAAAGUUGGUGAUAAUUUUUAUUUCAAGGACAACUUAAAAGCAUGGCAUUAAAAUUAAAUAAGAAUAGUUAUCUUGGUGUAUUUUUCCGAAUUGAGUUAUAGUAUAAACUUAGUCAAAAUUUUAAAAUAUAUCUCGAAACAGACUUGCAUUCAAAUUUUAUUGAAAUCAUUAUCAUAAGAGGUUCUCUUAUGUGCAUCAUAAUAUAUAAGGGAUCAAACGUUCUAACCUAACAUUUAUCUUAUGAAAAGAAAAGGGGAGGCAGGGGGGCAAUAGAAUCGUAGAACAACAGAAGUAAAAGGACAGAGGAUCAUAAGCUCUAAAAAUAGGAUCUCAUUUUAAACGUGUUAGAUCCCAAAACUUACACGAGUGUGUGCAUUUUAAUAAGUGACUGCCCCAAAAGUAAAUCGCAAUUGAUAAAAGAGUAAGGUCACGUUUUACUAAUCUUCUUUUUUUAUGAAACAAGAGAAAUUUUUUAUAAGGAAUCUAACCGAGUUGCAUAUUCAUGAUUUAAAUUUGAGAUCAUUAAUUAUAUUAAAAUAACUUCUAACCAAUUAAUUCACACGUUUAGUGGUGACCUAUUAUUAAAUAAAAAACAUAAGUAUAUUUAAUGUAUUUUAAAUAUAUGAUUUUUUGUAUUUAUCGAGUAAAACAAUUAGUUGUGAAAAAUAUUGUAAUGUUCCCAUGCACAUACCACAACAAUCAGAAAUAUAUCUAAAAAUUGGGAAAGAAAAAUGAUAGUAACAACUUUGUCAUUCUCUAAAAUUCAACAAAUAUUUAAAUGUUAUUAAAUUAGCUAAGUAAAAAUGUAAAAUAACUAUUUUAUAAAUUUUUCGAACAUGACUCUAGCUUAUUUAAAGAACACAUGGCACAAGGUUGUUCUAACUUAAAGCUUAUUAAUACUCAUGUGUUGCUUAUCAUUUUGUUAAAGUUUGUUUAUUAUCUUACUCCAAAGUUGUAGAAAGGAAAAAAAAAAAAGACUCACAAAGAGGUUGGCUUAAAUUGCAAGAAUUUGAAGGUUUCCAAUAGGAUCUCACUAACCUAUUGAUAUCAUCAUGAGUAACUCAAGCAACCAUGAAACGAAAAGUCCUUCUUUGAUUAGUUUGCUCAACAUUAACCUCCAAUUUUAUCAAAAGAGGCUUGUGAUAAACCGUAACAUCCUAGAAAUUCAACCCCCAAUGCAAAUUCAUCACCACUCUAUCAAGCCUUUGCUCCAAAUUCCCUCUUUUCCAAGUAAACGAAUAUCCUUGGAAACCAGCGUCAAAGAGCUCACAAUCCUUCGCCAUUUGAUUAAAGCCUAAAACAUCUAUAAAAGACAAAGAAUGAGAGUCAUAUUUCCUUUAAUGAGAAUGAAGGAUAGAAUUAAAAUCCCCCACAACCGCCCAUGCACUAUCAAUAUCCAAGACUAGAGACCUCAAAUCAUCCCACAAACUUUGACGAAGCGUAAAAAGAUGAUUAUUCUUAAACAACAGUCAGAAGCCAAGCAUUAAAUUCCUCCAACAAACUCUUAUAUGAACAAAUUAAGAUGAGUGCUAAAAAAUUUCCACCUUUCACAUAGUCGAAUCCCAUAGGCACCAAAUACCACCAAAGUGCCCACGAGCUUUCUCAACAAAAUAACUGUUAAACCCAUCCUCUGAAUAAGACACUAAGCUUUCUUUCCACAAUAUUGCAUCUCCAAAAGAAAAAUAAGAGAAGUAAAACAUUUUCUUCUUAUCUUAGUCAUAAGAUUCACAAACCCUUUACUCUUCUUACCUAUACAAUUCUAGUAUCACCUAAUUGACAAACAAUCGCACUUUUGAUUUCCAUAUCUAAAGAUGCAACAAUCUUUGCUUAUUAUCUUCAUAUACAUUAAUAACAUUCUCUUCCAACACAUCCUACUUGUAAUCCCUUCCAAAAACAAAACCUGUGCCUAUUUUUUGAAAAACACAAGUCAUUUAUAAGACUUCAUCAUCUUUGACACUGCAUUCAAUACCCUUGUUUGAACUCACCACAAAAAUACAUUUUGACCUUCUUCUCCCUUUGAUCAUUGAAACUGAUCAUGACACAAAAGCUUGGUGAGUGGCGCGGCCAAAGCAGCAUACCCCUUGAUGAACCUUUGGUAAAAUCCAGCCAGCCCGAGGAAACCACGCAAGGCUUGUGGUGACCGUGGUGUUGGCCAUUGUUGAAUGGCUUGCACUUUUCUUGACAUCGGUCGAACUCCCUCUCCUGACACGAGAUGGCCGAGAUAUUCAAGCUGUUGUUGAGCGAAUGUACACUUUGAAAGUUUAAGGGAGAACUUGCCAUUCCUGAGAACCUGAAAAGCGCUUUCCAAAUGCAGGAGAUGAUCAGAAAAACUUCUGCUAUAUAUCAAAAUGUCAUCGAAGAAGACAAUGAUGAAUUUACGCAGGAAUGGCUGGAACAAUUGGUUCAUUGUAGCCUGGAAAGAAGAUGGUGCAUUACAUAGCCCGAAUGGCAUUACGCGAAAUUCGUAAUGUCCAUGGUGAGUGCGGAACGCGAUUUUGUUGAUAUCUGCUUCGUUCAUCAGGAUUUGAUGGUAUCCUUGCAUCAAGUCGAGUUUGGAAAACCAUCGAGCACCGCCGAGUUCAACAAGAAACUCGUCAAUGGUGGGUAUCGAAAAAUGGUCGUGCACAAUGAUGGUGUUGAGGGCUCUAUAGUCUACACAAAACCGCCAAGAGCCAUCCUUCUUCUUCACUAAUAACACUGGUGAAGAGAAGGGACUUGAACUUGGUUGAAUGAAACCACUCGCAAGCAUGGAAGCCACUUGAUCUUCAAUGUCUUGCUUCUGAAAAUAUGGGUACCGGUAGGGACGCACGUUCAUCGGAGUGAAGUUUGGAAGUAAGGUGAUUGUAUGGUUAGUUGGGCGAGAGGGAGGCAAGGUAUUCAAGGGUUGAAACAGGUCUGCGUAUUUAGUGGUGAAUUGGGUAAUGGCUGAAGGUGUAGACUCGACUGUUGACUCUGAGGUAGUGGGUGGGUCAAGUCGAAUGUGGAAAAAGGUACAGGAUGUGUUGGUGUGAAGCAGCCGACGAAGCUGCGAGGGCAACACUAACUCAAAGUUCUUUUCACGAUCCCUAUGCAACUCGAUUAAUUUACCCACAAUGAUGAAUUUCAUAGUUAAAGUUGUAUAAUAUGUAAGGACCGGGCCAAGAGUCUUCAACCAUUGUACCCCAAGCACAACAUCGGCAUCGCAAAGGGGUAGGAUAUGGAAAUUAAUGGUGAAGGAGUGGUCCUGAAUUUGGACCGUAACCGCUUGACAUAGCUGAUGACAGUGAAGCUCAUCGCCGUUGCCUACUGUGACUUUGAAUGGAGUGGUCUCUGUCGGAGAAAGGCCUAGGGUGAGCACCAUGCGAUGAUGGAGGAAGUUAUGGGUGUUGUCUCCAUCGAUCAGAAUGCUGAUUGGUUGAUCCUCAAUGAUGUCGGUCAUGCGUAGUGUUUCCGGUGCCAAAUGGCCGGACAGGGCAUGUAGGCUAAGCUGGGCUGGAGGAGGUUCUGGUAGAAGGUCAUGAGAUGGCGAUGGUGGGUGUGAUUGAAUUGAGUCUAGCUGUAGUUCCUCGUCAUCAGUGACCAGGAGGAACAGGGAGGAAGCGCACUUGUGGCCUCUGGAAUAUUUCUCAUCACAAUGGAAGCACAAUCCCUUUUCACGACGGACGGCGAGUUCCUCCGGCGUCAGUCGUUUAAAAGGUAUGGACGGUGAUGGGUUACAGGCGGGUGUUGGAAGAAGAGGUGGAACCGAAGGUGCAGAGGGAGCGCGCGAAGCCAGAGAACUAGAAGCGGAAAUGGCCGACUGAUAUGUAUUACAACAAGAGUCGAGGAUCUUUUCCUCCUGAAGGCGAGCGUACGCCACUGCCUAAGUGAAGGAAAUGGGCUGAAGAACUUGAACCUCUCUGCGUAUGGCGGGACUCAGGCCAGAUAUAAAACAACUAAGCAAAAAAGGAGCCGGAAGACCUAUUAUACGAUUAGUUAGAGCCACAAACUCCGACAAAUAGACAUUCACCGAGGAGCGUUGCGUAAGUUUGCAAAGUAGACCUGUUGGAUCUUCAUAAGUGGAGGAAGCAAAACUAGAGUGCAGAGCAUGGAGGAACGCAAACUACGACGAGAGCUGAGCAUUACGGUGCAUCCAUUGAAACCAAGCCAAAGCUGAUCCCUCCAUGUAGAAGGAGGCGAUGGUUAAGCGUUCCUGAUCCGGUGUCGAGUGGUACUCAAAAAACUGAGUUAUCUAAAAGAUCCAGCCUGUAGGAUCGAUGUCGUCAAAGCGAGGUACGUCCAACUUCAUACGGUGGUUGGUGUCGGCCAUGGAACCAGCAGAAGGCCCCGACUAUAACGAGGACGAUGUAUGUGGAUGGUCGUGUGAGGUUUCGAGUUGUGACAUGCGAUGAAGAAGAUCAUCGACUUUGGAGGACAUGGAGAGGUGAGAAGCGGUGAGUUUAGCAAUAGCCUCCUCCAAGUGAUCGGAGGACGAGGAAGAUGUUUUAGAGCGGGUGGCGCCCGCUAUGGCAAUGAAAGCACCAAUGAUACACUUGGAUUUCGAGGACCAAGUACCCUCCCAGAAUUAAAGAUAAGAGAUAGCUGAAGGAGUAUAUUAUUUCUGAUGAGAAGCACUUAUUACAUGAGAUAUUUAUAGUGGUAAGGAUAAGGGACAUGGACCCGACAACACGAACGGAAAAGAUAGCUAUAUCAAGGAAUUAUCCCACACUGAAAGAUAUUCUUUGAUAUUCUACUAAUGACCUAGCUACACAUUACAAUCCUAGCUACUGUUACGUGCUUCUUGCAUGGUGCAUGACACUCUACACGUUUCGCACGUACUCCUCUAAAUAGGCUCGAAUCCUUUUCUUCCUUUUGGGCCUUGUCUCACCUACUUCUUACACCUCCAUUGUUUCCUCUAGACCCUUAUAUUCGUAAGCGUAUCAUCGAUCUUACUCAAAACCCUAAAAGAGUUAUCUUCUUUCACCCAUAUUAAUCUAUAACUAUCUUUAUGAAACACAUAUAGUCUAUUCUAAUUAUCAGUUAGUGGAUGAGAUCACACUUUUAAAUUUUUUUAUAUAUUAUUUGUUGUUUUAUAUAAAAUUUAUUAAAAAAAACUUACUUUUAAUGUAAUUUGUAUAAAAUAUUUUUAUUUAAUAUACGUAGAAAUGACUGUAUCAACACAUUUAUUCUUAACUAAAAACAUCAAUUUAUUUAUGAAUAAAAAGAGAAAAAAAUAACAUAAAUAAUAUUUUCCUUAUCUGUUAUUAUAGAUAAAAAAGACUGUAUGAACAUCAUUGCUUAUUAUUAUAAUCAAUAUUAACUUAUGUACAUAAAAUAAGUAAAAGACCCGACAUAUGAUCAGUGAUCGCAGAAAAUGGAGACCAAAGAGAAACAAAUCAAUGUUCUGGUGGUUUAGUAAAUGGUGAUGAUAAAACUAACCAUCAUCAGGUUAACUAACCCUAGUUAACUUGCUAUACCCACCAUCAUUUCUAGGCGCGAGAAGUAACCAAUAAGAAAGUAAAAUAAAACAAAAAAUAGUUUUAAAAUAGAAGUAAUAAAUAAUCAGGAUCUGACGGCUCUGCAGAUUCCGUCAAUUGGAGUAACGCCGUUAGACAAAUUAAACGGCAGAAAUAAACGACGUAACGGGUUUCUAUGUAUGGUUCAAGCGAGGGUAAGCGAGAGCCGUCAGAUCAGAGAUCAACGGUCAACAAUUUCCGGAGCGUGGCAGAAGAUGUAUAUAAACAGAGAGCAUUUCGUUCUAUCACUGAGAGCAAAGACGAAGAAGAAACACCCAGUACCCUUCUUACAUCUUAAUUUAUUUUUCUGAAGACUUUUUUUUUUUUUAAUUUCUUCAUUUCCACCAUUUUCUGUUACGCCAAGCUGCGUCGGCGACGCGAAUUGUGAUUACUGAACGGUGAAUUUUGAGGAUCUGCUACGUUUUUCAACAUUGAAUAAGGUUACUGCAAUUUGUUGCUAUUUUUUCGUUGUGGAUUUUGAGUAUAAUCGAAUCGCUAAUCUUGACGUUGUUUUUUUCGUCUCGUUUUUUUCUAUUUGCAGGUGUAUGUAUCAGACAAGUAUUUGUCAGAAUCACAUUGUUAAUUCUCUUCUAAAGAUUUCAUUCGUUCAUCUUCGGUAUUUAAAGGCGCUCCAUAAUUUCUAGUUUUGCAGGUUUGUUUCAAUUGUUCCAUUCUUCUAUUUCAUGUUAUGUGCUAAGUUUUUUGAGGUUUUCUGUUUUCGCAUCUGCAGAUACAUUUUUCUCUGGAAAAAUCUCUGAAUUUCGGAACUCUGGACUAUCUGCUAGAUUGUGCCUGAGUUUGUACUUGUGGCCAUGGUUGCAGAUCGAAGCUCUGAAAUGUCGUUAUUAGUUGGAUUUUAGAAAUAGAUUUGCAUUUUUCGAAGCUUCAGAACUGAAACCAGCGAGCUUUUGUGAGCCUUGGGUUUUGACGGAAUCGGAUUAGUUUAGGUGAGAAGUUAUGAAUUUACUUGCCUAAAAUCGGAACUAAGGUUAUGAAUUUCACCGUAAUGUUAAUCCAAUUUCGUUGUUCGUUUUCAGUUCCUUGAUUUUCCCCUGCCUCUUCAUCUCUUUCUGAAAAUCGAAAAACUGUCUCAUUUUUCUUGUGGUUUCUAACAUCGUGCAAGUUUUCUGGAAUGCGUUGAUUUUCAUCCCUUACGGUUUCAAUUUCAUGAUUUUGGAUCUCUUCCCCUUGCAAAUGUUUUGGUUGUUUUUUUUUUGUUCUUAAUUUUUUUUUUCUAUCGCUUACAAAUAUAGUGGAUUUAAGUCAAGUCCUCUGUUUCUCUCUCUAUGUUUCGGUUAUGACUCUUUCUCUAUUUCUAUUUUCAAUUCUUCUUUUUCUCCUCUUUCUUUCGGUGUUUAUGAAUCAAAUUGUUACUCAAUUGGCUCAAAGAGCAAAACCUGAACAGCAAAUCUUACUCAACCGUUGAUAUCUGCAGACUCAAGCAAACCAAUUGAACAAUUAAAGAGAUAAAUAACUGCAAAGUCUAAGAAGAGAAGCCAUUCAACCUUCCAAGCUCUCAUGCAUUUUUUUAUCAGUUUUUUUUUUUUUUUUCAUUUUUUCAGUUUUACACAUAUCAUUCCAUCAAAUCAUGGUUGAAAAUCUCGCAGUCCAUGUGCAGCAAAUUGAAUCCAAUUAUAAAAUCGCUAAAACCCAGUUAUCCCUCACAAUUUUCAUCACCCAUUUCUUGUCUUCACCUUGGAAGAAGAUGCUCACACCGCGCGAUUCCCAUGGUUUUCAUUUUCAUCUUCCUUUUCCCCUCUCGAAAACCGUGGACCCUCCAGCGCACCUUCGUUAUCUUUAUUAUUACUAAAAUAUAGUAAGAAGCUAGUAGAUGCGUAAUGCAUCAUUAAUAUAUGAAAAAAAAACAAUAAGCUUGGAUGGACACUAAAGCAUGCCGUGUUGUUACGGUAGAUAAUACAAAUCCAACACCAAUUUGAAGUUAGUUUGUUGUAUGUAUGCAUGUAUGUAAUCAUAUUUUUUUUUUGUUAUUCCAGUAAUAUCCCUAGAAACUUAACCUCAUUAAUUGUGAUGAUGACAGAUGGAUAAAGAGUCUCAUAACAAUGGCAAUAGCGUUAGAGAAAGAGACAAAGUUGGAGGAGGAGGGGAUAAUAGUAGUGGGGCCGGGUCGUUGUUGCUGAGAGGUGGCUCCGAUGGAAUGAGGCAAGCAACGACGUCGGAUUUGGGGCUGCAGUGGGGUAACAGGAAGAGACUAAGGUGCAUGAAGGUGCAGGUCAAACACGACUCUUCUUCUUCAAACAACCCGGUUCAGAGGACAACCACAACAACGGUUCGGGUGGAUCGGAGAGUGGUUAGAACCGAGAAAGAUUCUUCUUCAAAUAUUAUUAGUAGACCCUUACCCACUAUUAACAACAUCAGCAACAACAUUACUAAUAAUAACUUUCAUAAUAAUAAUAAUCAGAGUAACAACGGGUAUCUGAAUCUCCGUCAACGCCCACCUUCCCCGCAGCAACCUCCUCCGCGAAUUCUCAGGUAUUUUUGUUUGCAUCUUCCCUCGACUUUUUUUAUUCUUACAUUUAUUUGUUUGUUUAUUUAUGCUGAUAUCAGUUAACCCAAAAAACAGUGUUGAGAUCGUUAAAAAUUCUAAAUUAUCUAUAAAAAAAUUAAAUUAAGUAAAAAAUAAAUUGUGAUUAAAUUAUAAGAAAGUUGGGGUGUUGGAUUUGGAAACAAGUAAAACUUGGGUGGAAAUUACAUGGAUCUAAUAUUGAAUUCAAACAAAACUGAUUUGAUUUUUGAGGGGUUUGAAUUAGAUCCCUUAUUUUGAUUUUUGUCUUAUUUUUUAAAUAUGAUUUUAAUUUUUUUAACAAACAAAUUAAUUUUUUUACAACAAAUAAAUUUUAUCAAUUAAAAUAAGUGUGAUAUCCUAAAUUAUAAUAAAUUUUUAUUGACUAGUUUUUAUUUUAAAAAAUAGUAUUUAAUGAAUAAAAAGUCAAAUAUAUAAGAUGUAUAUUUUUUUUUUGUUAAACAAGCUUCAUAAAUCACAAGUGGAUUUAAAUUAUUAGUUACAAGAUAAAAUGAUUUUUAAAUAUUUUUUUUCUAAACAUACAAAAUAAUAAGAUUAUUAAUUUUUUGGGAUAAAAAUAACAAAAUUAGUAUGAGUUUAAUAUGUUUGCAAUUUGAUUUGAUUUGGUUCGAAGAUCGAAUUGAGCUGAAUAAAAGAUACUUUUUUUUAGUUGUUUCUUAAUUUACAGUUUGUUCAAUGGUACGGGGGUAUGAAAUGAUUUUGCUUGAUUCUUGGACAUUUUCAGAAAGAUUUUUCUUUGUCUAAUCGAUGUUUCCGAUAAUGGAAAUUUAAUUUUUGAUUUUAUUCCUAUCCAAUGCAAUGUUUUUGCUAAUGGGUUCAGAUCUAGUCAAAUAUCCGAUAAGCAUGUAGCAAAUAAAUUAUUAUUCGUAUAGGAUUUUGUGUGGAAGUGGUGGAUUCAUGUCUGCCACGAAAUUUUUUGUGCGUGCGGGGGCCGACUAAAUGCGAUGAGGGCAACAUGUAAGACUCUUGUGUCAGUCACAAAAUCUUCAGCUUCAAAUGGUAUUGUGAAUAUUAAAAAUUGGGCAUUGAAGGGAUAUUUGCUGCAUUUGGGCUGAAUAUUUAUCAUGACCCAUCAGAUGAGGCUUAUAUUUUGUCCACUCUCCAAUUGGUUAGGUCCUCGUGGAUGACGUCUCAUCCAAAUUAUAAAGAAGAGCUAACGGUAAGUGCACGUGAGGUCGUUUGUCUUCUUUUCUUCCCUCAAAAAUCAAAAUUAUUCAUUUGGAAAUUUUUGUUAUUACUAAUUUAGGAAGCUCGUAUUAAUGUGCAAUGAGUAAUGAUUACCUCACCAAUUUCUUCAUAUUGAUUGUUUUCUACUAGAAGUGUUAAGGGUUAGUGAUAUUUAGACGCAAGUAAAGACAGGAACAGGCAACAGGCAAAUGGUUGUGCUAGUUCUGAGUUGUGUGGGUUGGGCAGUCUUUGGUAACAAAUUCUGAUAAUCUAAACUAUGGUGAAGAUCUAAAUCCAACCUUUCCUUUGAAACAGAUAUGUUAUUUAAUCAUAAAAUUAAGAGGAAGGGAUAGCGAUCAGUCUAAAGAUAGGAAAAGGUUUUAGGUUUUAGAUUCAAAGAGAGAGAGUGUUUGGAAAGAUAUUUAUAGUUAUCUCACCCAAAAAAGACAAGUGAGACUUCAAUUUGCUAUCUGGCAAAUGUAAGACUUUGUCUUAAUCUAUUCCAUCAUCCUCGAUGUUUUUGCAACAAAUUUUUUGAUAUUUCGUUGUUGAUAUUCAUGAUAUAUGACAUUUGAUAUUUCAUUGUUGAUAUUCAUGAUAAAUGACAUUUUAUGGGUCUAUGUAUUCUCUCUGCAAAUUGAAGUUUUAUGAAACCCUCUCAAAUCUUCAUCUGGUAUUUUAUUUUAUGAUGUGUAUUGGUUUUAUCUCAGCUUUUUUAUGCUUUUGUCUCACUGUGUAUGAUUGAUAUACACAUACCAAACAAUAGGAUAUGAUGUCUCAUGACCAUGGAGGGUGUCCUUUUAGGCUUUGUUUGUUUUUAAAAUGAAAAUAAUAUUUUUUUUUAGAUUUACAUCUUUUAUAUUUUAUUUUAAUUUAAAAAUUUAUUUUUAUUUCUAGCUUCUCAAUUUUCAUUUUCUAAAUUUAUCCAUCCUUGGAGAGAUCAAGUUUGAUGACCUUGGAAAAGUAGCACUAAACUUAAUCCUCCGUCAUACCAGAUGUCCAGAUCAUAUUAUAACUGCAUUGCACUUUGUGGAUCUCUAGGUCUACAAUAACAACACAGUACCGGAACCCAUCAUUAUCAUGAGUAUUAUUACUCCUAGUCCCUAGUCUUUGUCGGGAAGAUGGAAUGGAGGGUCUCCUUCCACGUGUCUCUAAAGUCAUUUUCUAUAAGAAACCCCUUUUGUGGCCGUUGGAUGAGGCACCAGGUGUCAGAUCUGGUACGUCCCAUUCUAUACUUCAACCACGUAGGAAAGUAAAUAAAAUAGCCAAUAAGCAUUCUAGAUCCAAUGGCCCCUAACUUUCCGUGGAACCAGCUGUGUCCGUUAUAAGGAAUCAAUGCACAAAUCUCGCAAAUAUUCAUCUAAAUCUUUUCAUCUUAGGAAGUAAAAUAAAAUAUAAAAUUAAAGACACACACCAGCCCCCGGUUUCUACAAAUACCCCACGAAGAAGCCAAAAAUCAUCCCAUAUUUUACGCUAUUCCGUUGAUAUCCCAACCUCUUCAAACCCUGCGAUCUAGAUCGACCCACAAGGUCAAUUUCGUAAACCCACUACUCUCUCCCCUAAAGUUUUAAUUUUCUUUUUUUUAUUAUUUUUAUUAUUUUUUUCAAAAAACAAAAAAAUACUUCUCAAUGCAUAUUUGUUUGUUUCCCUAUUUAUCACGUCGUGUUUCGCGUUCUUACGGUUAAGAAAGAAAAACAUAUGGGAUAAUAAUCAUAUGUGGGUUUUGCUUUUGUUUUUUAUUUUUUUAUCAUUCAUCUUACUUAGGAAUUCGGAGACUUCAAGUGCUAUGAGAGGAGGCCAAAGCAACGGGAGUGUUAGGGGAAUUGCCUCACCGGACAGGGGUGCGCACGAUAAGAAGGGGACCCAUAACAACCACCUUAAUGACAAUAAUAACAACAAGUCUGUGGUCUCAUCAGACACCGCGCACGAAAGCAAGAAGGGUGGUGGCUCGCCGUCCGGCAGUGGUGACGUGGCUCCGCCGGUGUGGCCGCCAAAGUUCGUGAUUGCCUUGACGAACAAGGAGAAGGAAGAAGAUUUUCUGCUGUUGAAGGGUUCAAAGCUUCCACAGAGGCCCAAAAAGAGAGCCAAAUUCAUACAACGAACCCUCAAUGUAAGGCUCCACUAACCCCCUUUUUUUUAUUUUUUUGCUUUACGUCAUUUCCACUUUAAUUUAGUUAUUAUUAUAUCUUCUUGAUGAAGUUUUUCUACAUGGACCAUUUCCUAAAUCAUAGAUUGCAGAAAUCGAUGCAUUAGAAAUAUUUAAACGUAAUUGAUUGUUGAUUGAUUAAGAAAGCAAGGUUUUUUCACGUGACUUCAGUUUAGAAUUUUGACUAAAUGAAACGCUUUGUGAGAAUUGCUUGGACAAUGAACAAGAAUGAAUGAUGGUAUAAUUUUCCGAAAAAAAAAAUUGGGGGACUUAAUUAUAGUUAGCGCGUAAUGUUUUAGUGACCAUAUUAUAUUUUGUGAAAAAAUUGUUUUAUUAAAUUAUACAAAUUUUAAUAUGAUUCAUCUAUUUAAUUUCUAAGAAAAGAGAGUUAGAUACACAAAAUUCACUUGUUAAUAAUCAGACUAAAAUUCAACAUCAGGAAACGCUUCCAAUUUAUGAAACAUACACUCCAUUGUGGGAUGUAUGAAAGUGGAAGGAAGAGAAAGAUAAAAAAAAAGAAAUAUAAAAAAGAGUAGUGAUACUUGGAACUUGGAUAAAAAUCAAAAUUCAAAUAUUCUAUCAACAAUAUUUUUUUUUUAUUUUUCUUUCUAUCAAACUAUAUCAAUCAAAUCAAUUAUCUUUUAUAUAUUUAUCAUUUUUUUAUUAUUGUUUUUUCUCUUUAGGUAUAUGUUAUCGUAUGAGGUGUCUAAGAAAUAUUUUUCUAGGAAGUAUCAUAUGUAUUAAAUUAUUAUUUGAUUGAAAAAGAAAAAAGAAAUUAAAGUAAAAAAUGAUAGAUAUAAUAAUUGAUAUGAUAGAGGAAAAAAUACAAAGAAAAUGACAUAAAACAGAAAGGAAAUACAGGAGAAUAAUUAUUUAUUCUGGGAUAGAAUGUGGCAUGCCAUUUAUUUUGCUUCUUUUUUAAAAUAAAAAAUAUUCUGUGGCUCUUGUACGGUAGUGCGCGUCCUUUCUUUCUUUUACUUUUUAGACUUCUGGCUGGAAAAGCUAUAGACAGAGGGUUGGCAAGCUGUGGAUGGGUUUACACGCGUCAGCGGAAGCUUGUUUCACAGCGAAUAGUGUGGGUCCAAAAGUUCUGUUACGAGAACUCAAAAGUCCAAACUCCUAGGUAUUUAUUAUUUAAACAAAAUAAAAGUUCCUAAAAAUUAAUGAUAUUUUUUUUAAUAAAAAUCACGAAAAUAAAGUUAUAAUAAAAUGUACUAAUUAAUAAUAUUUUCCCUCAAUUACCAUUUUCUCAAAAAAAAGAGUAAAAAUACUCUAUUUACGAUAACCUACAAAGCAUUUAUACGUAGUUUAAUCUCACAAAAUUUUAAAGAUAAAUUACUCUAUUUGGUUCUUCAGGAAUAAUACGUAGACGUUGAAAUUGUUUUUUUUUUAAAAAAAAAAUUUGGUUAUCCAACUAGUUUUUUUUUUUAAGAUUUAGUUUGAUAUUAUUAUUUUUUAAAAUUAUACGUAGAAAUCAAUAAUUAUUUCUUUAUUGAGUAUGAAUACGGUGAUAUUUUAAAACUUUGAUGAACCCAUUUUUUUAAAAUAUUUUAAGUAUUUAUGUGAUUAUUUUAAUAAUAACUUUUUUUAGAAAUAAUGUAAUAAUGCCUAUAACUUAAAAAGUGACGAAGGUUUUUUUGUAAAAAAAAAUAUACAUAUAAUUAUUUUAAAUUUCGUUCAUGUUAUUUGUUGUUAUUAUAACAUCAUAAAAUUUAUUUAUCUUAGACUAUUUUUUUAUAUGAAGAAUAAAUUAAAACAAGGAAUACAUAUAUAAUCAAAAUGAUUUUAAUCUUAAAAGAAUUCUUAUAUGUUCAAAUUCAAGUCAGAAGCCGAUGGUUAAGAACCUGUCUAAAUGCUAGCAAAUCUAGUACUGGCGAAGCUAAGGAUGAAUUUUUUUUUAUAAAAAAAGGAAAUAUAUCCUAAAAUUUGUGUCUUGCAAAAUAGUAAUUAAUAUCUUGAUUCGGCAGAGAAGGAACAGAAGACGCACUUAAUUAGGUGCCACGUCCACAUCCAAUGGGGUGUGAUCAAUGUGUGAUGCUGACCGGGUUUCUUUUUGUGGCAUACAUUUUGUUCAUUUAAAAAGUUUGUGGUACACUAAAUUAGGUGGGGAAAUCUUAUGAUAUUCUAAUACUCGAGUAUAAUUAAAGAAAGGUGCUUUUUUUUUCUUUUUUUACACAAAAGAAAGGUUUUAAAAGGUACAGAACAAUUUUCAUAAAAUUUACACAACCAUAAUACUAGUAAUUCUUUCGAGUUUGUUGCAGGUAUUCUGUUCAUAUGUUUAUUUUUUCUCAACUAAUAGGAAAAAAAAAAAGAUAUAAGAGAAUAGAAACAAAGUCAAUGUAAUAUCUGCUGUGAUAAGAAAGGAAGACAGAUAGAUAGAGAAAAAUAAAAUGAGAUAUAGGGAGGAUGUAAAAUAUGGAUGAGAAAAAUUCAGAACUUAAUAAAUUAAAGCUGAAUGCAAUUAUUAUUAUUAUUAAGAAUAAUUAUAUAUGGAUAACAUAUUAUUUCUCUUUUUUCAUAUUAUAUCUUAUAUUUAUAGCUCUCUUUUUUUUCCCUCUCUUUUAAGAUGGCAAAUAACAGGGUGUUCAUGCAUCUUUAUCUAAGAACAAAAAUAUAGAAAGGUACAGGGAGUGUAUAUAAAAACGCAAGAGAAAGGAAAGUGAGAAAAUCAUAGUUGCUUGGUGUAUUAUUAUUCACGCUAUUUUGAGUUGGGUUUCUUGUGGGUUUGUUCAUAAGGCUCUUAGUUUUGAAUGUUCAAUAAAUAGACUUUACAUAAACCACCAAAAUUGAAGGUGGGCAACACCAAGAAGAGGGUACUCCUUGGUCGUGUUCAGGUUCAUAUCGUGACCUUGGGGUUUGGUUGCGUAUGUUGAAAAGCAGGAUUGGAAAUGCUGGAAUUAAUGUCCUGUGAGUUGUGAUAGGAAUGAUAUGGGUUGUCCAUAACAAGUAGUCCUUCAAGUUGAUCUCUGAAUGUUAAUAAAAUAUAUCAACAUAAGGACUAAACCAACAAUAUUUCAGAGAUUACUUAUAUAAGUUUAUUACUUAUUUUGCAUUUGGUAGUAUGACUAGUAUCUUAUUCUCUUGUUUAUGAUUCAGUUUUCAUUUUUCAUUGAUGGACUAUAGUCUAAACUUAAAAUGUCCAACUAGCUGUUUUGUUCAUUUUGGACUGUGUUGCAGCUCGUUAGUCCAGGUACAUGGCUGUGCGAUCUUACUCUGGAACGAUAUGAAGUUAGGGAGAAGAAGAUAUCCAAAAAGGUAGGAGAAAAAAAAGUAAGGACUUUAACCUGCUUCUGCUGUGUUGUGUAUCAUAUCAUAAGUGGCUAGCUAGUGUUUUUGUUCUUUUUUGCACGUAAAUAAAGAAGCCUAAUUUGGAUUUUUUUUUAUGCAGAGACCAAGAGGGUUGAAAGCAAUGGGCAACAUGGACUCUGAGUCUGAAUAGAAAGAAGCAAGGCAAUGAGUAAAGUUGUUUUAUUUUAUUUUUUUCUGUAGUCUAAGGGGUGUGAGAAAUGUUGAGAUAUUGUAAAGCACGGCAAUUGGCAACCAAGAAAUCGAAAUCAAAUAGUAUAAAUUACUUUCGCUCUGAUGACCCUGAUUUUCUCAUCUUUCUUCCUUUUUGGUCUAACAUGAUUUUCUCACCUUAAUUUGGUGUUUUUGGUCCAAGAUUAAUUUUUCCUCGCAAUUACGACAGGGGACCCAUCUUCAGCUGAAGGAUGACUUCCAGCUAUGGGGUGUCGGUUUCCCACCUAUUGGUGGACCCUCAGAUAGGAGUCUAAAAUAAAAUCCACCGUAGGAAAAGGAAAGCCUCAAGAAAUGGUUUUUAUUAAAAUUAGUGUGGAAAUCUUGGAGGAUGAUAUGAGUUCCAACCAUGUUGACACACAUGCCAGACCCCAAUGACACCAAGAAAUAUAACUUUCACGAAUGAGAAAAAAAGUUAGAGCAGUGAUAUCUCUCUUUAUGUCACAUUGAAUACAUGUUAUAUCUUUUUUUUUUUUUUACUAUUUCUUUCUCAUUCUAAGUAUAUAUUAGCAUUUGGAGUCACAAUAAAAAAAAAUAUUAACUUAUGGGGUGUCCAUUUAACAUUUUCAAAAGAUUAUUCGUGGUUCAUUGUUUCAUUCAAUGUCACAACUUAUGAACAGGGUGAUAAUUUUUAAAUUAUUGCCCUUUUAAACAAUAACUUAAUUAUUAAUGAAAACUUUUCUAUAAUUGAACUAUUCAAUAAUGUUUACUGCUAAUUAUAGGUGUGGAAAUGGCCUGAAUAUUUUUUAUUCGGCCUUAAAUUUGUGUGUUUGUUGUUGGAUUGCAAUUGUUUUAAAAUUUCACAUCUCUCUGACAAUGAUUAUCCAUGCUAUGUAGUUGGUGUUAAAAUAAACAAAUAUGCAUUAAGACAAGGGUGAGUAAUAAGGAUUUCGUUUCUUUUUGUGGGCGGGGGCAGAGGUGUUAGUAUAAUUUAGGAAAAUACUUGAAGUGAAGUAGGAUUGAUUGGGAAUCGAAUGAGUUUGAAUUCUCAAGUGUGUGUAAGGAUCAAAGAGGAAAUUGAAUCAUCAAAGGACUGAAACAUAUUGAUUUUUUUAUAGGUGCAAAAGGCUUAGUGGAGGAGAUAUAAGGUGGAUUGGGUCAUGGCUGAUUAAGGGAGAAGGAAAGUGGGAAAAUUUUGAUUAAAGAAACAAUAAAUGCAUGAAACAAUUUGGAUGGAGUUUUUUUUUUUUUUUUUUUCUAAGGUGGAUGGAGUCUUUUGAAAAUGGACCAAACGAAUUUAUCAAAAGGUUCUUGUAUGGAGGAACAAAAGUAGCAGAUAAAAGAUAUAUUAAAAUAUUCAUAUUACAACUUUAACAAAAAAAAGGAAACAUUAAUUAAUUUUUUAAAAAAAUUUGUCACCAUUUUUUUUAUAAAACCAGUUUUUUAUUCACCAAGAAAAAGGAACCAGUAUAGUAUUUGGUGUAUUCAUAGAUAGUAAACGAAAAGAAGUAAUGUUAUAUAUUUUUACAAAUCUUCUUAAUAUUAUAAGGUUUUAAAUAAAAAAUGAAAUAUAUUUAAUGUUUUAAAAAUAUAAAUAACAUUUUUUGGUACAUGGAGAAUAUUGUUGGGAAAUAUCUGGCAAUGGAGUAGGAAAAUACACACAAAAAAAAUAACACUUAUAGUAUAAAAUCAGUAGGAGAAUAUUGUAGGAAAACUUGGAAUUAUUGAAUUAAAUGUUGGCAAAAAUAACAUUGUGAGCAUGAUAGAUGUCUACUGGUUUCAGUGUUGCUCAGUAAAGCCAUUAAGUUUUAAGAUGUAACGGCAAGUGCUCUAAGUAGACAAAGGAACAUAGAAUUGAGGUUGUCUGGAAUAAAGUUUAAAGGGGUUCAUUUUAUAGACUCGAUGCACAUGAUGCCUACGUAGGCAAACCAUAGACCACUACUUGUUCUGUAAUGCAUCAAUUAUCAAAGACAAAUGGGGCAACUGAGUUUGUAGGAGCAUGAGGGAUAUUGGAAUUGACUUUAGCUUUGUUGCGGAUUUUAAAGAGUUAAGGAAUGAGCUGGUCUUUAUUUUAUUUUAGUUUUUUCCAACAAAUGUUAAUUUUGUUAGCAGAAAAUAUCAAAUUUAUAUAAAAAAAAAUAUUUCUUAAUUAUCUAACUCAUCUUAUGUUUUCAAAAUUAGCUGGUCUUAGUUAGCUCUCCAAAAGAAUGGCCGAUCAAUUAGAAUAGGUAGCAAAGAUUGCCCCAGUGAACGCACUCUUCAAAAUUCAAAGAGAAGUUAUGGAGUUGCUUUUUAAGAUAAAGAAACUACUUCGCAAAAGUGAAAAGAAUCAUAAGAAAUGUUUGUACUUUUAAAAUGUUCUUAUAAUCACUUUUUUUUUUUUUGUAUGCAUAACACUUUUUCUUUUUUUUAGUAUCUCACAACAAAGAGAUUCCCUUUUUAAAGAAUGGUUAAACACAUGAUUGUUGGUUUAGGGGCAAGAUGCCGUUAUUCCUUCUUGUGAUCAUAUAAAGACAGCGAAGCAUGGAAUAAUUUCAGGAAUUGAUUCAUUAUUCAUAUUGGGUACUUUUUCUUCUUGGUAUGUACACCAAACGCUUAAUUUUAGCAAAAUGAAUCCUAGCACUGAUUAAUGCUAUCACUUUUUACACAUUUUCUUAAUAAAAAUAUAUCAAUAAAGUAUUAAAUGAAAAUAUGAAAAUUGUAUUCAUAGAAUGUCUUAAAAAUAUAUUUAUAAAAAAGGCCAAUUGUAUUGAAAGAAUACUAAUCAAACCCUUUCCAUUUCCAAAACCAAAGUCUUUCCAAUCCACUGAAGUAAUUGGGGGUUAUUUUAUUUUUGUUGGAGUUGCUUUCAGACACAAGUCUUACUACAUAGGAAAUGACGCCACGUCUCUCUUUAGUCCUCACUGCCAGAUGCCAAUAUUGUUUUUUAAUUCAUAAAAAUGUCGAUAUUGUUUUACCAACGUGUCGCAAUUUAGCUUUUAAUAUGCAAAAAUUAUUUUCUAGUUUAGAUUAAAAAUGUAAGAGUACCACCACAUAAACGUCUGGUUCAAACAAUAAAAAUAGCAGUUAUGGGCUCUUUACUGUAUAGAUUCAAUAUAAAAUAAAAUUAAAAAAAUUUAGUAAAACAUGAAUUUAGAAUUAUUCUUGGUGUAGUAAUUGACAAGCUUCCGUUCAGGAAGGGUCAGGCUCGCACGAAAUUUACUAAAAGAUAAAGGUCAAAAGGUAUAUUUCAAAGAGCUUUAAGAGCACCUAAGAAAAAAGUGGCCACCAACUCAUUCUAUUCUAUUCCAAGAAACGUAAUUCAGAAGAUUUCGUUUCAAUACUGUUAAGUGCCAAAUAAUUUAAUAUAUGAUUGUCAUCUUUGCAAAACGUGUUAUUGUGUAUAAGUACUAUGCUUCCUUGGUUCUUCAUGUUUAUUAAGUAAAAUAGUAUAUAAAUUAAUAAAUAAAAUAGGAGUAUUACUUAACUAUUUAAAUGCUCAAUAUUUUCUCAAAAAAAAUAAUAGUUGAAUCAAAUCACAUUCAAAUUAAUUAAUUUAUUAAAAAUAACUUUUGAUACAAAAAAAUACUGCUAGUAAGCUACAAUAAAUAUAGUUUCUUGCUAUUUUAAGAUAAAAACUAAAAGUCCGGUGUUAUAAAAAUAAAAGUGAUACUCUCUAAUUUCAAUUAAUUCUCGUGUCCAAAAUAAUUAUAAUUUUGUUAGCCGAAACAAACACAAAAUCAUAGCGCGUGGUCAAUUACACAGAUCCAACGGUUUGAUUUCUUUUCGACAAACAUUGAAUCGAAUUGAACUGAAAUCUUCGACGAAGAAACCACGUUUUUCAGAGACAUUUCAGUUUCAAAUCUACGUCAAACCAAUUCAUCGCUACCAAAAUUAAAGCAGCAUUCACAGCAAACUCGACAAAAUAAUUUUAGAAAAAAAAAGGAACAAAUAAAACAAAGAAAUCAAGCUAUUAAAACAAAAACGAAGAACAAAUUUGAAUAUAAAACAAAUCGAUUAUGUACUAGAACCAAUGAUAACAACAAUAAGAAUACUAGUCAAACCAUAAAAGCAAUAUAGAUCCAGAAAUCAACAUAUCUAGCAAUAAUCGCUACAUAGCAAUAUCAAUAGAGAGAAUUAUAUACUAAUGCUACUCAAAUCUCGGCUUCUACUAAAAAUCCACAAAUAAAAUCCAUGAGCUACGCUCAGAUCCGGAGUGUAGAUCCGAACGCGAGAGCGGCUCCGGCGGCGAGAACACCGGCGACGAAUGACGGCGACACGGCGGCAGCGGGAGAGGUAGGGCUCGGAGCCGGAGCUUCAGCGGCGGAGAUGACGGCGACGAACACCGACAUUACGACGGCGAGGAACAAUGCUUUGGAGAAAGCCAUUGGUGAAUUUUGCUGAAACUGUUUAGGGUUUGGGGUUUGUUUCGUUGGGGGCAGUGAGAGUUCUCUUUGAGAAGAGGAGAAAGCAGAGGUUUUAUAUAGAGGGAGAGAGAGAGGAGACGUUACGGGCAGUUCGGGUAGCUGCCCGCCUGCCCGAAGUACAGACUGGCAAUAGGUCCGUUGCCAGCUGCAUCUACUUCUGAGAAAAUCAGAUUUCACAUGACUGUUUAUUGCAACGACGUCGUUCCGAAUGAAAUCC
rnacentral:lncRNA from 1 species